rnacentral:lncRNA from 1 species
CUCCUACUAGGGCGAUAGAUCUGACGGCAAAAGCCCGAUCGUCCCUAGAAGAAGCUCAACAAAGUCAUUUCUGCAAACGAAGAUCGAAGCCGACGAUGACAGAGUCGAUCUCUCCUACUAGGGCGAUAGAUCUGACGACAAAAGCCGAUCGUCCCUAGAAGAAGCUCAAAAGUCAUUCCUGCAAAAAAAAAAAAAAAAAAACAAAAAAAACAAAACAACACAAAAAAAACAAAACAAAACAAAACAGAAUUAAAAAAAGCAAAACAAAAAAAAAACACACACACAAAAAAAGAGAAAAAAGAGAAAGGGAGAAGAAAAGUUUUCUAUACCUUUCUGCUGAUUGGAUGAGGUAUAAGUGAGUAGGGUGUGAGUCUAUUUAUAAGUCCAACAAAUCCAAUUUUUAAAAGGAUUAGGAAUGAUAUUUAAUUAUUUUUUUUAAAAAAAAAACAAAUCCAAUUCCUAAAAGGAAUAGGAUUGAUUUUAAAUAUAUAUAUAUAUAUAUAAAGAAAAGAUAAUCCAAUUAUCUUAUUUUAUUUUAAAUUAUUUCUUUUUUUUUUGUUGGAUAAAUCUCAAGUUUAACUUUUAUUGAGAUAUUUAAAAUAUUUAAAAAUUUCAACAUUUAAAAAUAUAUAUAUAUAGAUAAAUAUUCUCAAUUUCAAAAUUCAAGUUAAAUUAACUUGCAUAUAUGACCUCAUUUUUAUCAUGAAUUUAAAUCGGAGCAUAAAUCCAACUUUACCUAAGAUUGAGGACCUGAUUUUUUAUCUCAAAUUAAAAUUGGUCAUUCCAAAUUCUUAUGCAUCCCCAAGAUAAAUUAAGGUACGGUAGAAACUUUAUCCUUAUUUCAAAAUUAAAAUUUUGGUUAUAUUCCAAAUUUUACUUAAAAAAAAUCAUCAUAUUAAAAAUUUUUUUUAUCCUCAAAUAAAAUUAAGUUAGGAAUAAAACUUUGAAUUUUUUUAAGGUUUGGCCAUAUUCCAACCCUUAUUUUAAAUUGAAAUCAAACUCACGUACUAAAUUCAAGUUUGAUUAAUUUGAUAUAUUGAAUUGAGUAAAAAAAAAAAAAAAAAAGAAGCUCGUACUUUGACUUCAAAUUUAUCUUUUCGAGAUUCAUUCACCCAUAUACGUGCAUAAAUCUCGAAAAGGGGGCAUUUGUUGAAUAAGAAAUUUUGAGACUAAUCACUAGUUGCCAUAUCAUUUAUUAAGUUAAUGAUGAAAAGUACAAAUAAUUAAAUUUGGGACUAAUUAAAAUUGACAUAUGCUCCAAAUUAAAGAGUUGAAAAUAAAUAAAAUGGUCAUUCUAAUAAUGCCACAUGUUUUCAUAUUAAUAGUUGGAUUAAGUUAAUCAUUUUAGUUCAAUUAAAUAUUAUUUACUUGGACUAAGUUCAAUUAAGCCCAAAAAAUAAGCUUAAUUGAACCCAAAGACUAAAUAUAACCUAAGUCCAUAUGGUUGAGCCCAUGGGUCUGGUCCAUGGACCAACCAGGUUCAAACCCAUAAAGCCCACCAGUGAAAUCUAUAAAUAGAGGAAUUCUCCUCAUUUGUAGGGGUUGGAAAUUUUGACUCUAGAAGAUCCAGAGAGAAUUCUUCAAAGAGCUAGAAGACUCCCUAACUCCUGAAGUCGACCAUCCUCGAAGAUUGAAGCUUCUUUAAAGAUACAAGCUUUCUUCAAGGCUUCAACUUCAAGAACAUCACGUGCUUCGCUUCCUCAAAUCAAGCUGAAGCAUCCAGUUGAGAGAGAAUCAGAGGAUCAAAUUCUAGAGAUUGAACCGCAUCGCAUCAAAUCAACAAAAUACAACAUCAAACUCAAGUUCAAGUCCACGAAUUAAAUUCUCCGAAAAUCUCGUGCGAACACAUAUAUUUCUAAAUAAAUUUAUUCGACGAAAGUGGCUAGAUUGGUGGGUUCGACGGCGAAGGCUUGUUGUGGCAGCAACGACAACAGUGGUUGGAGUGUGGAAUCGACGACGACAAGUGGCAAAAAAUUGGAAGGCAAGGGUUCUUCAUAACGACUCGGUAGCCCACUUCGUUCGACGAGAUUUUUUUGCAUUUUUGGUAGAGUGAGAAAAAAUUGCAUUAAGACUUCAUUCGACGACAUCGUUUUUGCUUAAGAGAAAAUUUGAUGUUUUUACUUAGUUGUAAUUGCGUGAGAGAGGGAAAUUAAAAAAUUUUGAAAUUUGAGGUUUUUUCAUUUGAAAUUUUUUUUAAUGACAAAAAAAUUGUCGUUAAUUAAUGACCCAAAAAUUGUGUGAAAUAAAUUAAAUUGUGUCAAUAGAAUUGUUUUAAGAAAUAAUCCAUAUUUUUAUUUUCAACAACACAUGUACCUCAUCCACCUCUUUUUUCUUUUAUUUUCAACGACACAAUGUCUUGAUUAAAAUCCAUUUUUCUAGUGACAAAUGUAUCCAUACCAAAGUGGGAAGCAGCUAAGGGGACGAAGGUAUAUUCGGAGAGAGAUUGUUAAACAAUUGUAAAAAGUAAGCCCAAGAAGAGAGGUCCAAUAAAAUUCAGCCACCUCUCACAUAGUAAUUGAAAUAGUCUAGCAAUUUCAACCAUUUCCCUCACAGAGAAGAAGAAGACCAUAGCCACUCGAGGCUUUUGCACAUACAAACACCAAGAAGAUGGUGUCCGGUUCCGUACCUGUGCUAAGCGCGUCGUUGUUGACAUAAAGUUUCUAUAUACAAAGCUAUGUAUCUCUACCCUUGACUUCUCUUUCUCUCUUUCUACCUUUUUUAUCCUUUCUUUCUCCCAUUCACUCAAUACACUUGCAAGAACCUUCAUUUUUUUUGUAUUUAAAUUUUCUUGGCACCAUCCUUUUUUAAUUAUCAAGGCUUUGUUAUUGUGUACCUGUAUUGUGUCGUGCCUCCUUCACUUCUCAUCAUCAUUUUCAUGUCACAUCUCUACCUUGUCAAUUUUCGUUUUUCACUCAGCUUUCUUUCUUCAUUUGUCUUCACUACUCUCUUCGCUCCUUCUUCUCAAGCUCUAACUUUUGCUAUUAUUAACCAGUCUCAAAUGACCAUUGGAAAACCUAUAGCCCACUGAGAGGCAGCCAAUAUAGUAAUGCCUCUAAUGAUAAACUCCAAUGAAAUCAAAAGUUCUUCUUUGAGAUUUGGAAAAAUAUAUUAGAUAAAGCAUAAUUAGUUGAAAAAGAACCUUAAAAUUUUGUGUUAAACGACUACAAUUUCAUCGUAGAAUAUGCCAUAUUGACAGCAUAUUUUUCCUACAAAAACAUAUUAACUAAAAUAAGCUCAUAAACACGAAAAUGCACUAAGUGUUGGUUAACAUACACUACCUUGAAAUAUGAUGAAGACUUUAUUUCUCCCAACCAGACAGCAUAAUCAGGAGGUAGUUUGGGAGCAAACAGAAUUGACUUAAUUUCCACUAGCAAUAUCCUAUAAAAAUUUCAAAUUCUUGAAAUAUGGAAACCAAUGGAAGUUUUAGGGAAUGAAGUAUAACCUCUAAAUACAGAAGGACGACAUAAAGGGGAAUGAAGACUCGAAAGAAGGACGACGUUUUCGUAGAGAAGGACGACAAUUUUGAGGGACAACGGACACGAUUUCAGAGUAUUAGGGAUGGUAGAUGGCGAAAGUCUUAGGGAUCUCGUACUCAGUGGAUGGUGAACGACUGAAAGCGAAGGACCUAGUACGCAUUUUUGGAGAGGGCGUGUGAACGCGGAUGGACGGACGGUGAACACGGCAGAAGUGAGAGAUCCUCAUAGAGAACUUGGCAUUUUCGAAUGCGGUAGAGACAAGUCUAGGGCUUCGAAGGAUUCAACCCAAUAUUUUCUUUAUAUAUAUAUAUAUAUAUAUAAUAUAUAUUUAAUAACACUUGACGUUUUUAAAACGUAAAGAAAAACGAUUUUACUUGACGUCUAAAAAACAUCAAGAAAUUUAAAAAAUAACUCUUCUCCGGCUUUUUAUAAAAAUUCUUGACGUUUUAAAACAUAAAGAAUUUUUAAGAUAUUUCUUGACGUUUUUAAAAUGUCAAGUAAAAGUACAUAUUACUUGACGUUUGAAAAUUUUGAAGAAUGUUGAAUAUAUAAACAUUCUUGACGUUUUUAAAACGUCAAGAAAAAAUACAUAUUAGUUGAUGUUUAAUAAACGUCAAGAAAUCUGAAAAUUGACCUACCCUCGCCUUUUCUAAAAAUUCUUGACGUUUUAUCUUUGGAACUACCCCUUUCUUGACGUUUUUUGAAAAAAAAUGUCAAGAAAGAAAAACAACAAACGUCAAGAAAGGCCUUUUUUGUAGUAAUGACAUACAAUAUAUAUAUAUACAUAAAUAAAUAAAUAAAUAUAUAUAUAUAUAUAAUGAAUUAAAAUGGUUUUGUUGCUUUACUGUUUUACUCUAUAAAGGAAGAGCAUUAUAAAUAUAUUAUUGAGGAAACAUCUUUCGAAAUGACUGGUUUUGGAAGUGUCAUUAGAUUUUUAGUUAGUUAAGCACAUUUUCCUCCCAAAUAGUAGUCGAAAUACAACUGUUUUUUAAGAAGAAGAAACCGAAUCCUUCAAACUAGGAUAAAAGUCAUUAUCUAUUAACAUAGAGUUAAAGUUACAAGGUUGAAGGCUAGAGGGAAGCCUGAAACAACCUAAUCUAACAAAGCUUAAAGUUAAGAGUUGGUAGUAACAUCAUAUUAGUUACAAGAUGAAUGACGCCUAGACCAAACUUCGAUCAAGUUACAUGUGUCUUCCCACAAGUUAACAAUAAACCUUGAUUUAUCCUUAAAAAUUCUAUUGUUUCUUUCUAUCCAAACAAUCCAAAGUAAGCCAGUUAUGGAGGAGGAAUACACAUUAGAGAGCUCAAUUAUGGAUGGAGGAAUACACAACUUUUUCUCGUGGUCAUUUUCCUCGUGGGCAUUCUCUUCAUGUUUCUUCUUAUUCCGACUAAAAUACAAGCACAAAUUAUUCUUCGCCUUCGUAUAGGUUUGUUUGAAGAAGAUUAAAAAAGUCCUUAAUUUAUCUCGACACUUCCAAAACCAGAAUAUAAUACCCGUGCUACAUAAAUCCCUCUUUCCAAAUAGUCGAACAUGAACUAUCCAUGCAUAUCUUGGAAUAAACAAGAGAAACCCUAACUAAACGCAAAUAGAAAAUACGUUGCAAUCUAAAAUAUAGUUAAAGAAACAAAAAGAAGUUUUAAUGUUGUGGGUUUUUUACUGAUCUUCUUCAACAACAAAAUAACUCAACGCCACAGUUCAAUUUUUCCUUCCACGAAUUGGGUUUUUAAAGAGUUUUCACCGCGAAUAAAUUUUUUUUGGUUCGACAAGUAACAACAUGUGAAUCCCCAAAUGCAAGGUUUUAUUAAAAAUUAAAAAUAUAAUUUUUUAAAAAAAUUAUAAUACCUAAAAAUAUAUUUUUUUUAUAUUUAUAACCUAAUUUUCUGUCAUUGCAUACUUGAGAGAAAUAUAUUUUUCAAUUAGCAUAAUAACCUUUAUAUAGUAAAUUAAAUUUGUAGAAUGAGAAAAGACCUUAGAUCCAAAAAAGUUAUUUAUUUAUUAUUGGAGUGAAUUGUAUAAUUAAUGUAGUUAAUGGAUGGUUUUGUAACCAUAAAAAAAUAAUGAAAAUAAUUUUCUAAAAGAAUGAAUGAAAAUUUGGAAAGUUAAAAGGUUUUAGGAAUUAAAAAAAAGGGUGUAACAUUAUAAAAGACUACCAAAUAUACUGUAAGAGACAUGCAUUAAAGGAGCUGAGUGUCACGUGUGAAAUUUUGACCCCAAAAAUCACCCCCAAAAUUGCGCUAAUUCAUGCCACGACUCCUUCAGCAAGGCCCAGGAGCAGCCCAACGUGGUCCUAAGACAGCCUAAGGGCGACCACGACAUGUGCCUACGGCAUUGGCAUGCACCUCUCGAGGACAGCUCACAAGCCCCGCACGCGUGCCACGACGAGUGCCCAUGACAGCCGAGUGUCAGCCCACGACACAGCCCCAUAGCACGCCAGAUGCCCGUUGACACGGCCAUAGGCGCCCGGCACCAGCGCCCACCAUCGACCCAGCGCGCGCCGUGUCCGCCCAACGUCCAGACGGCCCCAGAACCUCCGAGAAGCUUCCAGAAGAAUCGGGAAGGCGCGCAACACUUCGCGUGGCGCGCACGGCGCGAACCCAACGCGCGCGCCGACGCCCCCAGAUGCUUCCAGAAGGCUCCACACAUGCCCAUGUGUGUGCUGCCCGCCCAUGCUCAGUCUAGACAACCCCAGAAGCCUCUAGAACGUUCGAGACAGUGCCAGAAUGUGCUGGAAUGCGCGGAGGCUCCCGAGAAGGCCCCGGAACGUGCUGGAUGAUGCUGGAACGUGCUGGAACACUCUAGAAGGCUAUAUGACGGUCAGCGAGUGUCAUGAAAGGUCUAGUCCUCUCUAGAAUGUUCUAGGCUUCCUUGUUAUGUACCAAAUGAACUUGUAAUCUCUAGAAUCUCCCUUGGCCGACCUUCUAAGGCCCAAGGUCGGUGGGGAUGGUCUAUAAAUACUUGGGAGGGCCUCAUUUGUAUCAAGCCUUGCAACCUUGCAUCUUGGCAUGUCUUAGCCAAGCAAGGUCACCUUGCCACCCAAAGUCUCCUUGCCCAUGGUAUCCCCAUGACAAGAAGACAGCAUAUUUGUACCCAAAUAUGUAUUCAUCUAUUGUUGGAAUGCAAUGUAUCAUUCCAAAGACGUAUCCAUCCAAACUCCCUCAUCCUUCCAACCUCUCUCAUGUCUUGCAACCAACCUUAGUACUUCCGCUGCAACCGUUGUCGUAGUGCUUGGCACACUACCCCUUCCGGGAAAGGCUUACUUGGCUACGUGGGCAUUGUAGUUAGCCAAGUGCCGCAUGUAUGGUUAGCUUCAAGAUCCUAACCACGUGACAUGAGGCAUGCAUACUACCAAAUAUACUAUAAAUAAACCAUAAUUCUUUUUUAAGAAAUUAAACAACUAAUUAAAUAUAAAGAAGAAAGAUUAGAAAAUGAAUGAUCAAACAAACUAUGACUCAUUUAUUUUUGACAGGUUCGGCCAGUAUCACCUGACAAUUCAUUUUCACCAAGAGAAUAAACAUGAGUAGCCUUGGAAUCAAGUUCCUCCGAUAAAAGCCACGGAGUUGAUGGGUUAGAGACAGAACCAGAAUUUGAGUUCAACGAUGUGGAUGGAAAAUUCUGAAACUAGGAGCAACAGGAAGUUAAGACAACGAAUUAUUUUCAAUAUAGAAAGGCUAAUUGUAAGAAGUUGUUAAUGAAGUGUCCAAAUGCAUUAUGGUAAUAUUGGGUGCAGAAUGUUUGGAAGUUUUAUCCGUGUGCUGUGAAGCACCACAGAGUUGAAGCAUAUGAAACCAGUGUUUAUCUGACAAAAAAUAGUGUCAUGAUCAUUGCCUUUCCAUUCCAUAAAUUUAUGGAUAGCAGAAGAAAGAGAACUCUCAACACUUGAAUCACCAUAUAGCACUCUACAUCCAGGUGGUGCCUUGAUUUUUGAAGAUUUAGUUAAAAGCAGUGAUAAAAUUGGUACAUAAAUUACAGUGCAUUUCUCGAUAUGCAACAACAUUAAGAGCAACUUAAAGACAACAUCAUCAAGAAAUCUAGUAUUUAAAAUGUACAAAGAGCAGUAGUAAACAUAUGUAUUUUAUGGCUGACUUUAUCCAUAAUAAAUGUUGGAUUAAAUCAUCAAAAUAAAACACAAACAGAUAAUUAUCGAGUUUUUCAAUGGAGGAUAGAGAGGAAGACAUGCAUGCACAACUACUAGAUCUAUAUGGUGCCAGACUGCCAGUAAAAAUUUAAAGACACACAUGACAACAUUAUUUUGGAUGAAGUUCUAAUAUUGCAACCAUGGAGGAAAAAUCAGCAAAUCUUAAAUAGAUGUAGUAGUCCAAAUGAUAAAAGUUUGUCUCAAGAUAAUAUUUCAGUAACUGCAGAUGCAUUGUGUUGAACCUAACCUCUUGUGUUUCACGGUAAUGAACAAGGACAAUGUGUUCAAAGGUCCUGAACAAAAAGCAGAAGCAAGUCAUAAAUUAUAUAAGUAGAACACGAUAUACUGCCACUUCUAAUUUCAUUUUUCUUUGCUUGUGGCAUGAUGGGGAUAGACCCCACUGAAACAACUGGUAGCAAGCAAUUUAACAAUUUUCUUUCAACCAUAACAUACUUAUCUAGGAGCCAAUAACACCGGCGAACAAAGGUUGGGCUAUCUAGUCCAUGGGCAUAGUAUACAUGUAUCCUUUCUACAUUACCAACCUGCCGAAGAGAAAGAAAAGAUUAUCAAAGCACACCUUUUCUUGGUUAUUAAGGCUGUAAAAGAAUGAAAAUUACCAUAAAUCUAAACACAGUUAAUAUUAGACCAUUGAACAACCUAUAGAUUCAAAAGGAAAGACUCAAACCACCAAUAGACUGGUUAAUCAUUUAAAAUGAUCUCCAACAACAUGAUACGCAGUAUAUCGUGCUAGAUCCAUAAUUACCACAUGUGGACUCCUAUGGUAAUUUCAUUGAUGAUACGCAGCUAGUAGGCAAGAUUAUGAAAUGAAGACGGUAUGUGAGAAGAUUGAAAAGAUCAACAUGAUAAAAUUAUAGGGAUUUGAAUUUAUAUCUUAAGAACACCAGAGUCAAAUGCUUAAGCUGAUUAACUGUGUUAAAUUUAACUCUAUAAUAUAUUUUAAAUCUGAACAGUCAUUAAACAACUACAUUUUGAAUAAGCUUUAGAGAAUAUUAGCAAAAACAGUAGAAAUUACUUCAAAUUUGUAGAGAGAACAUAUAAAUUAUAUUCUACAGAAACACGAGCCCAUAGCAUGUCUACUGAGUAGCAAUGACAGUGAAAAAGGGAAUAGUAAGUAACUAAUCUCAUAAACCCCUUUCUCACAUCUAACCAAGUUCUUUCAUGACAUGCAAAAGCAUCAAAAUAUUUAAGAAAACUUCCAAUAUUGCAUUUGGAACUCAUUGAUUGACUUCAACGUUUAAGAGUCAUAAAAGACACAACUUACUUUCUCACCUGUCACCACUAAGCCUACGGCAACAUCUUUUUAUAAGAUAUUCAGCUAAUCUUUAGAUUGUUUACCGAAUAAUCGUCUAUUGUUUUGUAAUUGAUCCCACCAAGCGCUUGCGCCACCUUGAAGUUUGAGAGCAACUAAUCGAACCUUCUUGUGUUCGUGGUGUAUUGGCAUAGUCGAAAAAAUUUCUACGUUCUUGAUCCAAUCAAGAAACUUCUCCACGUCCAUUCGACCAUUGAAGGUAGGGAGAUCCACUUUCAUACGUAUUUCUUGAUCUUCUUGAAAGUAUGGUCGAAGUCCAAGCCUUUGUUGAGGUUCUUGAUGAAUGUUCAGCAAGUUGUCUUCAUCGGAAGAGUCAGAAUCAUUUAAGAAAUUUCAGGUACGUUGUUUCCAUACAAUCGAUUAUUGUGGAUGUGAAUAGGUUGAUUUCUUAGUAGUUCUUAGUUUACAACAGGGUUUAUUGGUCUUUCUUGUCUUUCUUGGUUUGCUGCAAUUGGGUUUCUUGGGGCUGAAUUGCUUCUUCUAAAGGUUGGACAUGAAAUCGGGUAAAAAGGUUUGUUAAUUCUACUAACGAUUGCUGUAUAUCUGACUGCCCUUUUCGAAGUUCUUCAAUAGCUUGUUCUACCAACUGCAAGCGUUGGUUGAAGGAGGCUUCCGCGUCCAUGGAUAAGAGUGGUAGGAUCCAAGUUUUUUUAGGGAAGAGUGAGCUAGGAUCACGCUCUGAUACCAAUUGAUUCAGUAAUUGCAAAGCUAGAAAUCUUUAUGUAUAAUGCCUCUUUUUUUUUAUGUCUUAUUAAUGAAAAUGAGAAGCUUUUUUAUAGGCUGGAGAUUAUAAGAGUUGUUAAACUAACUUGGGGUUGAGUUAGUUAACUUGGAGUUGAGUUAGUUAUAACUAACUCAAGAUACAAAAUUGGUAAUUCAAAUAACUAAUCCUAAACUAUAAAAAUGGUAAUUCAAACCCCUCCUCUAGGAUAAAACUCAAGAAACAUCAAGAAGGGAGAUGUUCUACAUCAAAGUGUAGAGAACGAUUCAAAAUCCUUGGUGAAAGAAAUGAAUGUUAACUAAUGUGUGUUUAUGUGAAAUUGUUCAAUGAGUAUGUUAAGGAUAAAGAAAGGUUUAUGCGAGAUAAAAUUAUUUGAUGUUGUUUAUGCGAAAUGAUGUUUAUGAAAAGGUAUUGCGAAAAGGAUUUCAUAAAACCUUAGUCUUUUAGACAUUCUUUCAAAAAUUCAUCUUCCAAGAUGAGGUGUUUAGGCCAAGUAGAGAAGAAGGUUGAAGGAUUUGCAGCGAGAUGACCAGACGUUUUGAAAAUAGUUAAGCAUUGGUUGUUUGGUCAAAGUGUUGUAAUUAUGUAUCAAACACAUGUUAUUAAUAAACAUCUUGGUAGGUAUUUAUUAUACUUGCACGCCUACUCUCACAUUUAGCCAUAUGUUGUACUUUGUUUUCCACCUUGACUUUUAAUGACACACAAACCAACUUUCCAAGGAAUUCCCUUUCAUUUUCCUAUUAACUCAUAUUCUCUUUUUUUAUCAAGUCCUUGAUAGAGAAAGUGGACUUUGAGUUGUUGGACUUUAGUAUUGCAUGGACAUACAAUUUUGAAUGAAAAAUCCUUAUAAAUGGGGCCUUUUAACUCAUUUGAUGGGUUGGCUAUUGAAUUUGGGCUUUCAUACCAAAUGGAAUUUUUUUUCUUAUUUACUUAAAGAAAAAAAAAAAAAAUUUACCACGCCCAUUUUUUUUCAUCUAUUUCUUUCGUCCGGUUCUUUCAUCCAACGAGUCCCACAACUCGAUUAUGAGUCUAGAAGUACUAAGUCAAACUUAGUGGUUGUUCGAAUAAAACGCAACUUCAAAUGUAAGUAUUCUAAAAACCUUAUUUUUUGGUUUAGUCUCGUUAAUUAAGCCCAAUUAGGGUAGAAUUUCGAUUCUUUUUCUGUUGUGCAUGUCUUAGUUCUAUCAGUAACUCCCUUCAGGGUGAUAACUCUCAUCAGCAGACUUUCCAUUACUGGUUUCUUCCUUAGUCAUCAUUAUAUUGUUGUUUUCCACAAUAGAUAGGGUGAGUUGCAGUUUUACAUGAAAUGCUCUGCUCACCCACACUCUUUUCUCACUAGUUCCUUAUUCUCAAUCUUCAACGCAAAUUUCAUCAUCUGGGCCAACCCAAUCGGUUCCACAGUUUCCACUUCCAUUUUUAUUCAUGGGCUAAGCCCAAUCAUCAAAGUCUCCUCUAACACUACCGUUUGAAGAAAUGCUACUAGAGCUAAAUAUCGAUCAAAUCGGUUGCGGUAUUCUUCUAAUCAUUUUCUGUUUGAUUGAGAAAAAUCUUCCAACCAAAGUUCCUUCUCGAAUUGAUCGAAACUGUACAAGCAUUCGUUCUUUCAGGUCAGCCCAAUUCUUAAAAACUUCCAACUCUUCUUGUGCUUGGUACCAAUCCAAUGCCAGAUCAUCAAAACUAAUAACGCUGUGGUUAAUUUCUCUGAAUCAGUAAGAUCAUGUAUCUUAAAGAAGCGAUAGGCUCUAAAUUGAGACCCAUUUCUAAUUUGAGUAAUGAAGUAAAUUUGGCUAGGUAUUAAGAAUUUGGCGUUUGAAUAAAUCCACGAAAAGGAUUAAGCGAUAAAAAAAUUUAUGGUUAAGUAUACGUUAUUGCGAUUCAGUGGGUAGUUCGCGAAGGAAGUUGUGCGACCCAUUUCUAAUUCGAGUAAGGAAGUAAAAUUCGGCUAAGAAUUAAGAAGUUGGUGUUCAAAUAAAUCCAUGGAAAGAUUAAGUGAUAAGAUCUUUUACGGUUAAGUAUACUUUUUUGCGAUAAGUGGUAGUUCGCGAAAGAAGUUGUGCGAUAAGAAGCGAAAAAGUCUUUGCGUAAGUUAGAAAUGAAAGUUUUGAGUGUUAGACUAGGAGUUUUGGGUGGUCUUCGCGAGAAGAACCAAGUGUUUCGUGGAGAAGAAGUCUACGAGGAAGCCUUGGAGUUUAAGUUCGUGAUAAGAGUUUUAUGCGAGUAAAAGUUGGUUAGUUCAUGUGGAACGUUUCUUAUAAUAAAAAUAUAAUCAAGCGAUAAGGUUAUUCACGAGAAAUGUUAAGUGGUUGAAUUUAUUCACGGUUUGGGUUAGGCGGGAGCAAGGUUUGUAAAGAAAAUGUCAAAUCUGAUUUGACAUGGGUUAACAUGUAAGAUUAAGGAUUUGAGCAUGACUAGGUUAAAUAUUAAGGAUUUGCAUGACUAAGUUAGUAUAAGGGAUCUAUAAAAUAGGAGAAUUUAGGUAACUAAGGAGGGGAUGACGAGAGUUUUGUUGAAAUGCUAAAGUGUUGUUGGUUUAGCCACGAAAAGAUGGUUGUGAGAAGGACUUCUUUAGUAAAUUUUGGUGAGUGCUUUUCAGUCAAAAGAAUUUAUGUUAAGAAACUUUAUUACGAUUUCUCUUUACUGAUUGAAAGAAGAAUUCAGAUGAGAAUGUUUCAGAAAGAUUUCUAUGAAAAGUUAUGUUCAAGCAUUAUUAUAAUGUUAAAGCUUGAUUUGAUGACUAUGAUUUCAAUAUUAUGUUUCUUUGAGAUGAUGCUAACUUUUGUGUGCACAUAAAGAGUGAAGGCACUAUGGAGUGUACGAACUACAUGGUAAUAAGAAGCUGACUUAUGCAUUGAAAUGAGCGUAUAAAGCUUAGCGGAUGACAACAAAGACGAAUUUGUAUGUUCUCAGAUGUUGAUACAGUAGUCUAAACGCGAGGUAAUGACACCAGCGUAGAGAAUGAUUCGGGAUCCUUGACAAAUGAAAUGAUUUUUUAAGCAUAAAGAAAGGUUUAUUCGAAAUGAAAUAAUUUUUCGGUAUAUUUAAAUGAUUUGAUAUUAUUUUACAAAAUGAUUAUGAAAAGGUAUUGUGAAAGGUUUUCAUAAAACCUUAAAGGAUUUAAAAAAAAAGUGGACCAUUCAACUUAAUUCCCAUCCACUAUCCUCUUGUCCAACAUGAAACUUUAUCUUAGUAAAACUUCUUGAUCCACUAUUUUACAAAAAUAUUCAAAACAAUACCAUACUACACCAAAUGUGAUAUUUUGGUAACACUAUAAAAUGGUCAGAAAUACCAUUUUCCUGACUUUUUUUUCAUCGACCAUUAAAGAAAAAGUAUAGAUGAUGUUUCAAAAACUUCCAAACCAUUGUGUUAGUUAUCGUUUUAGAUGAGGGUUGGGGUAGAGCAUCAAUACUAAAGGUUGUUAAGGAUUAAGAACUAAGACUUGAAAACAAAACCGCCUGCCUGGUUGACAACAACACCAUCCCACUAGAGUGCACAAUGAUUAUUAUUGCAUUAAGAAGAAGAUGGCAGUUAACCUUAGCGCCAUAAUCAGAACCUCAAUCCUCCCUUUGAUGAAAGCACCUAAAGGUGUCAUGCCUUUCCCCUCUACCACAUUGAAGCUCUUUGUCUAACACUACAAGAAAUGAGGGCUCUCUCGAUGCAUAAAAUCAUUGGGAGAUAUAUAAAAAGCAUCAGAAAAGGCUUUUCUGACAUACUAAUAUACGUUGGAACACAAGUCAGGAAAAAAUGUAUCGGGAGAGGAACUCCCGAUGCACAAUGUUGUGCGUCGAGAGUUUCUAGACAUCUUCUGACGUUGUAUGAACGUCGAAGAUGUUGUCAAUAUAGCAUCGAGAGAUGUCUAGGAACCAUGCGUCGGGAGAUCCUCUAUUUUUUAUUAAAAAAAAUAACUUCAAUUAAUUCCUAAAUUCAAAUUGAAAACUCUAAAUUCAAACUCAACUUCAACACUUCAACCUCAACUUCAACACUUCAAAUUCAAAUUUCUAAAACCUACAACUAAUUCAAAAUUCUAACAACACUUGAAAUUAAAUUUCAACACUAAAACUUACAACUAAUUCAAAAUCUAAAUACUAAAACUAAUUUGAAAUCUAAAAUCUAACACCUAAAACAAAUUUGAAAUCUAAAUACUAAAACUAAUUAACUAAAACAAAACAAUAACUAACUAAACCACUUACCGAUGGCGGCGACGACAGGACGACAACAGGGACGACAAUGGAGAUGACAAUGCCCUCUUCUUCUUUAUCUUCCUCUCGGUCUCCCUCUCCCUCUCUCAUUUUUUUCUCUUUAUGUUUCAUUUAUAUAAAGAAUGGAGUUAAAAAAGGCAGAGAACUCCUGACGCACAACGAAAACGAAUUGGUUCCACAAACCAAUCUCAUCACAGAGGUACUCUUUGCAAUUUAAGCUCUAUUUGCAAUGGACAGUCUUCAAAGUUUUUUUUAACGAUGUUUCCAAUGCUUUCCUUUCUCUCUCAUGUUUAAUAAAACAAAUUUCUCUUAAAACCUGUAGGGAGGCUACAUCGUAUCGAAUUUCAUACAACUGACGUGUUCAUCGAGUUACAACAAGUGCCGCACAAUAGUCUGUUCCAUUUUGAAAAGUUGUGAGUGUGACACGCUCACAUGAGGUUAGAACGAGACAUGGCAAGGCAAGCCCUACGCGCGCCUGCAACUUCUGCCACAAUAUUUUGUAAGCAAGCUGAUGUCUUUAGGCUGUUUUUGUGGUUUUUGGAAAUUUUAAGCAAAGUUUUGAUAUUUUUAUGAUCAACGGGAAUUAAAUGGAAUUAUUUCCCAUUAUUUUUCAUUAUUUUAGAUUUGAAGGAGAUCGACCAAGUUUAUAAGCCAAGGGUCCAAGCUACUCUCUAUAAGUGACAAAAAUGAGUUUAAAGUUGAUUUCUAUACAUGAAUUUACUAUCAAAUGUUUCAAGCAUGCUUUGAUGUUUGAAUAUUUGAGGAUACUGACUAUAAAGUAUUUCCAAAGCAUGAAUUUAGAAACAUUUUGGUAAACAUGUUUUUAUUCAUGAAUUUACUAAUGAAAAUUAUAAGCAAUCAUGAUUGUGCUAAGUUUUCAGAAUGUUUAAGCUUGAAAAUAAUAUUAGCAUGUUUUAGUCUAUACCUAAAAUAUUCUAAGAUAUAUAGCAACCCUUCGCGGAGAGAUUUUCUUGUGCAUAGAGGUCAUUUGAUUUGGAUAUUCAGUAAAUACCUAGCUUUCCAUCAUUGGUAUUAGAUAAGAGAUGAAGACUUCUAAAGAUGCUUAGUUUCCCAUCUCAGGGACGAGAGCUUGUACGAAUGCCUAGUUUUCCAUCUCAUUGUAGUUAUAACGAGAUAGGGCACAAUUGAUGCCUAGAGUUUCAUCUCGUAAGUAUCGUAUCACGGGAUAGGGCUUCUAUGCCUAGUUUAUUGUUUUUCGUCUCGACGAUUAUAGGUAUAACAGAGAUUUGGUUUGAGGUGCUUCUUAAGUCUUUAAUAUUUAUGUUUGUUUUGAUCCUAGGAAUUGAGCAUGUAAUGUAAAAAGUCUAUGCACAAGGGGUCAUAUGGCCAUCUCCGUGUUUCUUUAAUUAUCAAAUUUGUUCAAGUUUUUAAUUGUCUCUAGAUCAAAAUCUGGAGUUAUUUUUUGUGAUUUGGUGUACAAAUACAUACAUCCAUGUUUCUAAUUAUGAUUAGAUUGUUUUCUGCUCGCAACAUUUUAUUGUUUAGCUUGUCUUUGAUCUUGAACUUACUAUUAUGUUGAUUUAAAUUCCAUUUUAGCCUUAGAACUUUCAAAACAUCCAUUUUAGUCAUCGAGCUUCCAAAACGUAGCCAACUAAGUUUUAGUAUUUUGUAAAUUAUUUUAUCAAUUAAUAUUCAUUUAUCCAAUACUCAUCGGUCAUUUCUGCUAUAUGUGAUUGGAAUAUAUCUCAUAGGAAGCAUUUUGAAAGUUGGGAAAAGAUGGAAAAUUUUAGGGACUAGAACAAGAAUUUGUUUAAUAUUUUUUGAUAGGGUGAAUUCUUGCAAUUUCCUUGUCGUAUAUACAUAAUUUUUUCUCUCAUUUGGCAAAUUCAUUAUGCUUGAAAAUUUAGGUGAUUCAUGAGCUAGAUAAAGUAAACAACGUAUGGAAGAUGAUCUUUGUGGCUUGUGAGGAAGACGUGGAGGAAGCCUUGGUGGCCGUAGAAAAAGGGAUAUGGACUUUCAACGUUGAAUGGUUAAUGGCAUGUAUAAUGAGACAAGAAGUAGACUUGGAGGCCCUUAAUUUGCUGAGUCCCUAUGAGAAACAAGGUCACCCUAACUUUCAGUUUUGAACAAGCAGCAGCCAGCCAUUUCGUCCUUGUGUAAAUCCACUCUUUUCUCAACUCACUCUAAUUUGGUACAUAAACAAACUCUGAUCGCUCCAUCUCUAUAUUCAUCAGUACAUAAAAGACGAUAAGUUUAUUCAUGGAGAAAGUUGGAUGUAAGUAUGUUUUAGGAAUGGUCCUUCAUUUAGUAACUUUGGGAAUUGUAAAAAUGAGGUAAUGAAGUUCUAUCAAGUUGAAUGUUCUUGUUUAUGUUAGAUGAGACUGAUUCUUGGAUACCAGAAUUAACUUGAAGUACGUGUUUGAGUUCCAUUGGAGUGAUUAGAGAAAAGAUGUUCCUUUAAAAACGGUAAUUUUUUUAUGUAGACUUUCUUUUUAUUAAAAUUGCUUAAAAUACAAUUUGAGAGUAUUUCAAUAGCUUUCAAAGAGUUGUCAAACACUUGUAGUUUUUCUAAAAUAACAUAUUUUCAAAAUUAAUUACUGUAAUAGUUAAACAAAAGAUUCUUUCCCUUCGAAAUUUUAAAGUUUGUCUAGUUACCUCUUAAACCUUUCAAUUGUUUAAUAGGUCUUUCAAUUUUAUGUUUUAAGUGUCAUAAAUUUUGAUUUUUUUUUAUUUGUUAGAUAUAAAUCUGAAGAAAUGAAUAAAGUAGAUUUGUAAGUUUAAAAUAGUUUAAAAGUUGAGAAAUUAAAUUUGUAGUUUAAAAGUUGGAGUAAAUAGUUUGUGUUAAGUCGGGUUGUGAUAUUUUAUUUAUUUAUUUUAAUAAUAGAAGAGAGGGAGACGAAAACUGCAGACUGAAGGGAGAAGAAGCGGUGGCUGACUUUGUAUAUUUCUCCUUUCUUUUCAAUUUGAGAAAAUUUCUUUGCAAUUCACUUUGAAAAGGAAAUGAAUAUUUCUCCCUCAGACUUAUCUCUCUCUUCUUUUCAAUUUAUUUUCAAUUUUUCUGUGUGCUUCUCACAGUGUAUGCAUAAUCUCUCUUUCAUUUUGAUAUUCAUCUCCAUUUCAAAUAUCUCCCACACAAAGAACAAAGAAAUGAGUAAAGUAACUGAGAGAGCAUUUUGUUUUUCCCUUCAUAUGGUUGGUUACUUUUUGUCAAUUAAAUGAAAAGUGAAGAAUAAGAUAAGAUUUUCUUUACCCAUUUGCCAUCAUCAUCAAAGCUAUUUACCUCAUUUUUGUUCACACACACACAACUUCAUUUUGUUGGAUUACACUCAUUUGAGAAAAUAGCAAAAUUUUAUUAGAAGAAUAGCAAACACGAGCAUUUCAUGUGUUUUGAAUUUUCAUUAACCCUAAAAUCUCCUCGCCUGCUUUUUAGUUAAACUGUAACUAAUUUUGAAAUAUGCAAAAUUUUAGCAUAAAUAUUGAUUUUCUCCUACAUUAUCUUAACACACUUUUUUUCCUCCAAAUAUUGGAUUUAUAUCAAAUCUUUAUUUUCAAAUUUUACUUUAUCCAAAUUUUCAUUUUUCAAAAUUUCAUCGUUAUUCUACUUUUAUUUUUGUAUUUCAUAUAUAUAUAUAUAUUUAUAAUAUUUAAUCUUAUUUUUUCUCUUUUCCUAUUCAUCUUCUUCCUUUCUCUUCCUCUUCAACCUACGGCCACACCACCGUCUCUUUUCUUCCUUCUCUUUUCAUUCUCCAAUCAACUUCACCACCGUCUUCCACCUACAUCGAACGUCAAGCAAAUUUUGUCGUAUCGUCGCAUCACCGUUAGCCCGAGUCACUCCGGUUCCGUCACGCCAUGUAUGUUUAGAUUUGAAUUGUUUGGUUAUUUGUUGCACCGAUCCGUCUCCGUUAGAAUUUGAUUCUCCACAAUUUGGGUAAGUUAUGGAAUUUACAUAUAGAGUGAAUUGAAUGGAUUAAAUUGUUUGUGGAAGUGAUUGAUUUCUCUUCAAUUAUGUUUAGGUCGGUUCGUUGCACUUUAGUUUGAAAAAGAAGCUUAAGUAAGGUUAUAAGCUAAGGGAUUCUCUACUACUGGACUCACCUAUAGUUUUGAAUUGUGCUGUCUGUAUAGUUACCUCGAUUGAGUAAAGAUGUCGAAACGAUAUAUAUACGUAUGAAUGUAGACUUGAUGUUGAAUGCAUAUUGUGAUUGUCUGGGAAUAUAUAUAUAUAUAAAUAUGUAUGGAUGUAGACAGGACGACAAUUGUAGAUUGUGUUUGUAUGGAAUGUGGAUGUGUGAACUUGUGAUUGUCGUUUAGAUUGGGUGUAUGUUAUACUAAAGUAUGGUUGUGUACUGGUGAAUUGAGGGGUGUUAUGACUAUAUAGUUUGAUUGACUGAUGUAUUGAUAUGUUACUGGCGGACAUUGGGCUAAAGUGAGAUAAGUUGACUAUUAGGGUGUUCAGUGAAAGGAUUAUAUGUUGAAGUAGUUGGUUACUAUGAAUGAGUUUUAAGAUGUUUAGAAUGGAUUGAGGGGAAAAUUGUUAGAUUUCUAUUGGGUAGUUACCUUGCAGGUGUCCUACAGGAUCACCACCUGAUAUGUGCAUCCUUCGAUAGCACUAGACUGAUAUGUGCAUCCUUCGGGAGCAUUAGACUGAUAUGUGUUUCUGCGGAACACUAGACUGAUUUAUGCGUCCUUUGAGGCGUUAGACUGAUUAUGUGUAUCCUACGGAUCACAAGACUGUGACUGUGCAGGGUACCCCAAUAGGAAGUUAACAGUUUCUUUUUCCCCUAACGGGACGAAUAACGGGUCUCUUAUUGGGUAUGUUUAUACUCAUCCUUUCAUGUUUAACUAUUUUAGGCAAAGGUAACAAAUGAGGUAGACUGACGAGGGACAAGAAGGAGACGUGAUUGCCAUAAGGGAAUGUCCUUCAAAUGCUUCUGCUUUAUGUUUCUUGUUUUCCUUUGUACAUGAGGUUGUUUAAAAAUUUUGUGAUGGAACUGAGUUUACGAACUGUUGUUUUGUGAAUAGUACUUUAAAGUUUGGAUAUUUGAAAUAGGGCCCGAACUUAAGUUUGUUUUCUUUGAUCGUAUGAUUUCAAGUGAAUUUUACUAUAUUUUGUGUCAAUCAAGGUCUCUUUGUCAAAAUUAAUGACUUCAACUUAGUUAGAAAAGUUGGGUCGUUACAACAAAUUUUAAGUAUUGAUGUAAGAAUUAUGUACUUCAUUAUAAAGGUCGAUAGCUUACAAAUAUUAACACGAUCGUGUACCGAUAACAAGACGAUUGUUUACACUAUUCAAUACGAUCACCAAUAUCAUAUGAUCGUGUACCCAUGUCAACACGAUAAUUUAUUUUAAUCAAUAUUAUCAUUUACCGUUCUUAAAUGUUCGUUUAUCACGGUUAAUAGGAUCGUUUAAUGUAUAUUAUUUCAUUGCACGAUCGUUUACUUAUUCUUGCAUUGUGUUUAGUAUUAUCAUUUUGUACAUUUUAUUCUUUUAUUCAGUAAUAAAUGUAUAUCUAUGUCUAUCUAUUUCUUUCUAUCACAAUUAAAUACUUAAUUUUAUUUUAUUUAUUUUUUUUACAGAUUAUAAUGUCUUUUCCUAUUGUUGUUUUUUACGGAGGUCAAUGGAAUGGAUGUAAUAUUUAUGAGAAUUACUUAGUUGCUGAAAUUUUGGUAGGUGUCCGAGUCAGCUUUAAUUCUCUAGUUGAUUUAAUAUGUGAACAGAUUCAAUUGGAUGGAUAAGUAGAAUUAUCUGUUUUACUUGAUUUUGGUAAAAGCAAGGUCCAACUGUGGUGCCAGUAAAGAAAGACAAUGAUGUGGCUUGGUAUUUAUCUUUUGCUAAAGAUGCAACUAAUAUACAUCCAUUAGUUGCUCAUGUAACUGUUGAUUUUUUUUAGAAGGUCUUCUUCUUCUUAGAGAACUACCUGUAGCUACCAUGCUUAGUUCAAUUAGAGAUGUAUUGCAAAAGUGGUUUGAUGAAAGAAGUAAAGCUACUUUUACAAUGAAGAGUUGUUUGACUUCUUGGGCUGAGAACGUGUUGCAUUUAGAAUAACAUGAAAAGUCAAGAAUUUUAUUGGUAAUUUUUUUUUUUUUUUUAAUGUUUGUAUCUCAGGUAGAUAUAAAUAGAUUGCUAUUUUUGUCCAUUCGAUAGAGAAAUAUAACAAUUUAUGUGUGCUUGUUUCAGAUAUAUAGAGAUAGAUAGCUAUCAAUGUCUAUUUGUCUCUAUUUGUGCAUGCUUUUUUUUUUAAUUUUUCUAUAUUUGUUUUAUGUAUUAGGUUGAUCCAAUUAGUAUGACUGAAUAGAAAGUAAUGGAUGAUACAAAAUGAUAAUGUGAUUUAUUUAUAUUGGUUCUAAUUUGAAAUAUUCAAAUUUACUUUGGAAAUUAGUAUAAUUAGUAUAAUAUAUAAUGAUACAUUAUAAUAUAAAGUUUAUAUUUAAUGAAACUUUAUUAUAUAAAUUUAAUUUUAGAUAAAGUUCAAAAUUAAUUUAUGAGAAAAUAUUUGAAUGAGUUCAAAUAUUAAUUUAAUGUGGAUUUGUUUCAUAUUAAAACUAUUAAUUAUGAGAUAAAGUUAUAUUUGAAUAUGAUUCAAAUUUAACUUAAGUUAAAUAUAAAAUAUUUAAUUUAGUUAUUAAUUAAUUGAAGAAUUAAUUAAUAGUUUAGUUUAAUAUUAUUUAAUUAAAUUUGAUUUAAUUAAAUUAAUAUAAAACUAUGGGUAUUGGAGAGAUAUUCAUUCAAUAAGAUUUAAAUGAAAUAUUAAUUAAAUAUGAUUUAAUUAAUUAUUAACUAAUUGAUUAAUGGUUAAUUAGUUAGUUGAUUUGAAACUUCUAUUAAUUUAAUAUUUUUUAAGUUAAUAGAAUCCUAUGAUUUUCUCCUACCCCGUCUCCUACUCAAUGAAAGAAAGAGAGUUAUAAAUAUGUAGAAGAAAAACAUCUUUUCUUAACCAAAAUAAAAUCGAUGAUUUUCUUUUCUGCAAAAUAGAUUGUAACGACCUAAUUUUUCGAAUUAAGCUGAAGUUAUUACUUUAAGACUAGAUUCGUCUUUAACCAUAAGACUUUAUAAUUUAAAAAAUAUAUUUUUUAACAACAUUAAAGAGUUUUUAUUCGGCUCUAUUUCAAAUAAAAUUUUGAAAGUGUAAAAGUAUCGAUAAUAAAGAAAGUUCAAGAACAUAAAAGUCGUUCAAUCAUGAAACCCAAAACAGUCUCAAUUACUAAAGAAAACCAAAAAAAAAAAAAAUAUAAAGUAAAAGCAAUUUGAAGGACAUUUCCCUAUGGCAGUUUCGCGGAAAAAGAUUAAACAUAAAAGGGUGAGUAUAAACAUACCCAGUAAGGGACCCACUACUGAUCCUGUUUAGAAGAAAAAUAAAAUUGUUAACUUCCUAUUGGAGGUGCCCUGCACUUUAAAAGUCUUGUGAUCAUGUAGGAAUACACAUAAGCAGUCCAAUGCCCUAAAGGACACAAAUACUAGUCUAGUGCUCUGCAGAAAGCACAUGUCAGUCUAGUGCUCUCGAAGAAUGCACAUGUCAGUCUAUUGCUCUCGAAGAAUGCACAUGUCAUUCUAGUGCUCUCGAAGAAUGCACAACAGGUGGUGAUCCUGUAGGACACCUGCAAGGCACACUACCCAAUCGACAAAGCUAACAAUUUUCCCUUAGUCCAUUAUAAACAUUUAAUCAAUCCAUUCCUAGUAUAGUCAAACUACUCCAUCAUAUCAUCAAUCCAACUUAACACACUUACGUUCAAUCUAUUCAAUCUAUCACAAAAUCAGUUGAUACUAUAACAACACACCAGACAGUCAAGAUAUAUAUAUAUAUACAUAACACCUUUCUCAGUUUACAAAUACAUUAUCCAUCGUAUCUACUUCUAUACCAGUAAGUUUACAAACACUAACUGUUGAGUUUCUACAGUAGAUUCUUGAAGAUGUGACUCUUGAACAGAUGGAUUCUCAUGGAUGAUCACAUGUUUGUUAUUUUGAUGGUCAUCAUUCUUGUCUAGAUUGUGAUGACUAGAAUCAUCACGAAGAUCAUCAUACAUGUUGUUAAUAUCAUCAAACAAUUGAUUCUGAUUCUAGUAUAGAAAGAAAAAAGGAUAAUAAAAAAAUAGUUACAAAAUGAUCGUGUAUCCUUAAGCAAACAAUCGUGUAGAAUAUCUAAACGGUUGUUUUACCAAGGGUGAUCGAUAUUUUAGAUGGGAUAUGCGAUCGUUCAUAUGUGAUAUGUGAUCGUGUAAAGAUAUAUCAAACCUUUGUUCUGUCAGAAGUCGUGCUAAGAAGAGUUGAAAGCUUGUAAUAAGAUCCAUCAAAACUGAAAGAUUUUACAUCAACACGUUCCUGACACAGUAAUGCAGUAUCAAUGAGCAUCAAAUUACGUGAGAUACGUAUUAGAAAAUAUCUAACUGCUCAGUUAAUUUUUUAUGGACAUCAAAUCACCUUUUUUCAAGCUUAAGGAAGGAAAUGUCGACACUAUAUAUGUCAGAGUUGUGCAUUGCAAUGGAAGUGCCAACACGAGGUGAUACAUGUGUGUCUGGGAUGUAAAUGCCACUCCCCGACUAGGACCAACAUAGACUUAGGGAGAAAGCAUGCUAGGAAUUGGAGUUGUGUCCUCAAUUUCUUCAAGGGACUUGAGCAUUUCUUCUUACACUAGAAUGUCUCCUGUUCAGAGAGUUUAUAGGAUUUCUCAAGGCCAUUUUUGCAUACUUAACAGCUCUUGACAACGGUAGAGAGUCUAACUCUACACUUUCAAGGGGUUCCAACUCCACCACUCGCUGAGCCAAAGAUAGAGACGAAUCAUUAAUGAUCCAGUAAGCAACAUGAAACCUUGUAAUUUUGGGGUUAACGGUAGUCCCUCCCAUUACUAGCUCAACACUUAAACGGAGUCUCCUCUAUAAAAUAUAAAAUAAUACAGACACAAAUAGUGAAUGAAAUCUUGUGACGUAACAAACACAAAUUUUAGGUAUACUGCAAUUUGACUAAAUAUUGAACAAGAAAACCCAAGGGAAUACACAAAAAUCCAACGUUUUUAGGGGUCAAUUUGGAAAAUGGCAAAACUACUUUUUCUUUUCAAUUUUAGCAAACAACAUUUUUUGCGCGUGCAUGGUAUUUUAUAAAAUACCAAAAUAUUCAACUUCUCCAACUAUAAUUAUUUUGUUUUUACGUUAUAAUUAAUUUAUGUUAUGUAUUUAUCAACUUUUAAUUAAUUUUUACUUGAAAUAGAUACAUUAACUCAUAUCAUAACUUUUCUCUUAAAAUCUCAGGACUCAAUUAAUUAAUUCAAUAUUUUAAUAACAUUAUUCAAUCUUAUUAAUUUCAAAAUAAUCUAAUUGAAUUUGAAUUUCAAAAUAACCAAAUUGAAUUUCAAAAUUACAAAAUUAUUAUUUUCUAGAAUUUGAGAAUCUCAACGAUAGAUUUUAUAUUAAAAUAAACUUAUCUCAAAAUAAUUUUAAUGACUUGAAUAUCAAGAUAAUUAAAUUAUUAUUUUAAAAAUUGGAAGAAAAGCACAAAAAGCGCACACGCCCACUCACGUACACACGCACGCGCGCGUAUACGCACACACACGCACACGCACACGCACAAAAGCGCACACGUGGACACUCACACCCACGCACACGUAGACAUACACACCCACGCACACGUGGACACGCGCAUACGCACACACGUACGCACUCACGCACACGCACGCACACACGCACAUAUGCACAAAGAUGUAUAAAUGAAUUAAAAUUAAAAAAUAACUACAAUAAUUUGACUUACUAACGUUAAUUAAAUUAUAAUUUCUAUCAAUAUUGGUUUAAAAGUGUCAUUAAUGUAAUUAUUUCAAUAUAAUGCACUCUUAUCCAAUUUUACGAACAAAAAACAAGUCGAAUAUGUACCAUUAGAUGACACUCUUUGUCAUAAGAGAUAUAGCAACGUUUUUAUGGGUCAUUUUGAAAAAUGGCAAAACUACUUUUUCUUUUAAAUUUUAGCAAAUAGAAUUUUUUACACGUGUCCAUGAUAUUUUAUAAAAUACCAAAAUAUUCACCUUCUCAAACAGUAAUUAUUUCGUUUCUACGUUGUAAUUAAUUUAUGUUAUGCAUUUAUUAGCUUUUAAUUAUUUUUUACCUGAAAAAGAUACAUCCUUUUUCUUAAUAUCUCGGGACUCAACUAAUUGAUUCAAGAUUUUAAUUUUAUUCAAUCUUACUAAUUUCAAAAUAACCUAAUUAAAUUUCAAUUUCAAAAUAACAAAAUUAUUAUUUUUCGAAAUUUGAGAAUCUCAACGAUAGAUUUUGUAUCAAAAAUAACUUUAAUUGAAUUUCAAAAUUAAAAAAUAUUAACUUGUUCGCACACAAGCACACGCGCACACGUGCACAACGCACGCACACACACGCACACACACCCAUCCACACACGCACACGCACACGCACAUAUGCACACACGCACAAAGAUGUGUAAAUUAAUUAAAGUUAAAAACAAAUACAUUCAUUAUGUUCAGAAAGAGUUUUAAACCAUGUUCAUUUGACUUAAUAACAUUGAUUAAAUUAUAAUUUCUAUCAAUAUUGGCUUAAAAGUGUCAUUCGUGUAAUUAUUUCAAUAUAAUGCAGUCUUAUCCAAUUUUACGAACAAAAAACAAGUCAAAUAUGUACCAGUAGAUGACACUCUUUGUCAUAAGAGAUAUAGCAACGUUUUUAUGGGUCAUUUUGAAAAAUGGCAAAACUACUUUUUCUUUUAAAUUUUAGCAAAUAGAAUUUUUUACACGUGUCCAUGAUAUUUUAUAAAAUACCAAAAUAUAAACCUUCUCAAACAGUAAUUAUUUCGUUUCUACGUUGUAAUUAAUUUAUGUUAUGCAUUUAUUAGCUUUUAAUUAUUUUUUACCUGAAAAAGAUACAUCAACCCAUAUCAUAACUUUUUUCUUAAUAUCUCGGGACUCAACUAAUUGAUUCAAGAUUUUAAUUUUAUUCAAUCUUACUAAUUUCAAAAUAACCUAAUUAAAUUUCAAUUUCAAAAUAACAAAAUUGUUAUUUUUCAAAAUUUGAGAAUCUCAACGAUAGAUUUUGUAUCAAAAACAAUUUUAAUUGAAUUUCAAAAUUAAAAAAUAUUAACUUGUUCGCACACAAGCACACGCGCACACGUGCACAACGCACGCACACGCACGCACACACACUCAUCCACACACGCACACGCACACGCACAUAUGCACACACGCACAAAGAUGUGUAAAUUAAUUAAAGUUAAAAAAACAAAUACAUUAAUUAUGUUCAGAAAGAGUUUUAAACCAUGUUCAUUUGACUUAAUAACAUUGAUUAAAUUAUAAUUUCUAUCAAUAUUGGCUUAAAAGUGUCAUUCGUGUAAUUAUUUCAAUAUAAUGCGGUCUUAUCCAAUUUUACCAACAAAAAACAAAUCGAAUAUGGAUCAGUAGAUCUACACUCUUUGUCAUAAGAGACAUAACAACGUUUUUAGGGUCAUUUUGAAAAAUGACAAAACUACUUUUUCCUUUGAAUUUUAGCAACUAGCAUUUUUUGCACGUGCAUGGUAUUUUAUAAAAUACCAAAAUAUCAACAUUCUUCAACUGUAAUUAUUUCGUCUCUACAUUGUAAUUAAUUUAUGUUAUGCAUUUCUCAGCUUUUAAUUAUCUUUUACUUGAAAUAGAUACAUCAACUCAUAUCAUAAUAUUUUUCUUAAUAUCUCGAGACUCAACUAAUUAAUUCAACAUAUUAAUAAUUUUAUUCAAUCAUACUAAUUUCAAAAUAACCUAAUUGAAUUUGAAUUUCAAAAUAACAAAAUUGAAUUUCAAAAUAACAAAAUUGAAUUUCAAAAUAACAAAAUUGAAUUUCAAAAUAACAAAAUUAUUAUUUUUCGGAAUUUGAGAGUCUCAACGAUAGAUUUUGUAUUAAAAUAACCUUAAUUGAAUUUCAAAAUUAAAAAAUAUCAACCUGUUCACUAUCUUUAUCUCAAAAUAACAUUAAUGCCUUAAAUAUCAAGAUAAUUAAAUUAUUAUUUUAAAAUUGGAAGAAACUCAACAUUAAAAAUAUUAACUUGUCGGACACAAGCAUAGAAGCACUGCGCACACACGUACACAUGCACACUUACACACACGCGCGCACACGCACACCUACACACAGACACCCACAGACGCACGAACCCACGCACACACACAUGCACACGCGCACGCAUGCACACACACACCUAUCCACACGCACACAAGCACACACACAUGCACAAACGCACACACGUGUACGCACAAACCUUAUCUCAAAAUAGUUCCUAUUUUUGCUGACAGUUUAUUUUUUGCCAUCGAUAGAGGAUCUUCCAAUAGACCUACGUGACGGUGUGUGUUGACAGCUUAAUUUUGUUGGCAAAAGAAAAGUUGAUUAGUUUUUGAAGAUUUACUGACGAUAUUUGUCAUCGACAAAGGGUAAAUUUCUUGUAGUGCAUGUACAUCAAACAUAUCAAAUUUGUUAAGUGUACCAAUGAAGUAUAACAAGUUUAUUAGUGGUGUAUCACGUGUAUCAAACUUAUUAGUGAAGUCUUUAAGUGUAUCAAACUAAUCAAGUGUAUCAAGGCCUCAGGGGUAUCAAGUGUAUCAAGAAGAAUCAAGUGUAACGAGAAGUAUUAUGUGGAACGAGAAGUAUUAUAUGUAUGAAGAUGUUUCAAGUGUGUAUCAAAAAGUAUCGAGUGUAUCAAUGAGUACCGAGUGCAUGAAUUGUAUCUAUCAAAUGUAUCAAGUGUAUCAGUAAGAAGUAUCAAGUGUAUCAAGGGUAUUAGGUGUAUCAGACGUGUAUAAGGUGUAUCAAAUAUACAUCAAUAACGAGGGCAUUUGUGACAUUUUACCUCUUGAUGUGUGAGUUGGUCUUUGUUUUUGUCAUUUUCUCAAAUAAUAAAGUAUGUGUUCUAUGGACUUAAUUAUUAUAACUUAUUUUGCCAUUUUCGCAAGUGUCCCUUAAUUGUAAUACAUGUAUAUGUGACAUAAUCUAAUCAAACUAACUCAUAAAUGGACUUAAUGUAUCAAGAGGUAUUAGGUGUAUCAGACGUGUAUAAGGUGUAUCAAAUGUACAUCAAUAACGAGGGCAUUUGUGACAUUUUACCUCUUGAUGUGUGAGUUGGUCUUUGUUUUUGUCACUUUCUCAAAUAAUAAGGUAUGUGUUCUAUGGACUUAAAUAUUAUAACUUAUUUUGCCAUUUUUGCAAGUGUCCCUUAAUUGUAAUACAUGUAUAUGUGACAUAAUAUAAUCAAACUAACUCAUAAAUGGACUUAAUCUAUCUCAUGGACCACGAAUUCUUCAAUUACUUGCAAAUUUGGUGAGUUCCUUCAAAUGGUGGGCGGAGAGCUUAAUUUUGAGAGAGAGGAAAAGUCGUGAAGAGUAUUUGCGAGAGAGGGGGGAACGUCGCCAGAGAGCAUUUGCGAGAGAGCUAAAGACAGCGACGAUGUGGGAUGAAGUAAGGUUUUUUUCGGUCAUUGUUCACAAGUGGGAUGAAAGCUUCGAAUUAUUUGUUUUAAAUCAAAAAACGUAUGAUUGAAGGAAAACAUUGAUUUUUAUUAGGGUAAUUUUUUAAUGACACAUAAUUUAUGCCAUUAUUUACAAUGCCAAAAUUUUGUCAAGAAAACUCAAUUUGUGUCACAAAAAAAUUUGUAUUUUUAUUUUUUUAACGACACAUUUUAUUCCCUCAUAUCCCUUUUUCUUGAUUUCAAGUGUCAUUAAAACUUAUAUUUCUAAAUAAAUUUAUUCGACGAAAGUGGCUAGAUUGGUGGGUUUGACGGCGAAGGCUUGUUGUGGGAGCAACGACAACAGUGGUUGGAGUGUGGAAUCGACGACGGCAAGUGGCAAAAAAUUGGGGGCAAGGGUUCUUCAUAACGACUCGAUAGCCCACUUCGAAUUUUUUUGAAAUUUGAGGUUUUUUCAUUUGAAAAUUUUUUUAAUGACAAAAAAAUUGACGUUAAUUAAUGACGCAAAAUUUGUGUUGAAAUAAAUUAAAUUGUGUCAAUAUGAUUGUUUUAAGAAAUAAUCCAUAUUUAUAUUUUCAACAACACAAUGUACCUCAUCCCACCUCUUUUUUCUUUUAUUUUCAACGACACAAUGUCUUGAUUAAAAUCCAUUUUUCUAGUAGUGACUGAAAAAAAAACUGGACAGAAUCAUAAUAUCUUUGAUAAUUAAAUCACCAGUUGGUUUGAACAUAUAUAAUCUUGGAUCUAUUCUAUUAUGAUAUGACCAUGGUACAUCAUGAACAUACAUUGACUAAAAAACUUAAAUUGAUGAGUGAAUGUAAUAAAUUUAAUAUUAAUUAUAUGAUCAAUACUUUACACAUGUAUAUUGGUAUAUCAGUCAAUAACAGUAGUAAGACAAAUUAUAAAAUAUAAGGGAUAAAAGUCCUACACAUGCAUGUAUGGUAUACUCUCUUGAUAGCAAAAUGCAUUUAUGUCAACUCAUGUUUGAAUGCAUUUAUGUAGGAAAUUCAAUAAAAUAAUUAAGAAACCUUGCAAUAUGUGAGAGAUAUACGAACUUCAAACAAAUUUUACAAGUUUCAGCAAAAAUUUUCAAACAACUUUUAAAGUUUAAGCAAAAAGUAACCGUAGGUAGGAAGGGGAGCAAAAGUGGGGUCUCGAAUUAAUUCUGAAAAAUUAGUAGGCUUUCAAAAUUUAGGUUCUAGAAGUAGAAUUAUUGCAGAAAAAUAAAUAAUUGCAUCAUUCAAAUUGAAUCAGACAUAUCAGGAUGUAUAUAUUCUCCACAACGUAUAAUGGAGUAUAAACAUAAAGUUUCUAUAUACAAAGCUAUGUAUCUCUACCCUUGACUUCUCUUUCUCUCUUUCUACCUUUUUUAUCCUUUCUUUCUUCCAUUCACUCAAUACACUUGCAAGAACCUUCAUUUUUUUGUAUUUAAAUUUUCUUGGCACCAUCCUUUUUUUUAAUUAUCAAGGCUUUGUUAUUGUGUACCAGUAUUGUGUCGUGCCUCCUUCACUUCUCAUCAUCAUUUUCAUGUCACAUCUCUACCUUGUCAAUUUUCGUUUUUCACUCAGCUUUCUUUCUUCUUUUGUCUUCACUACUUUCUUCGCUCCUUCUUCUCAAGCUCUAACUUUUGCUAUUAUCAACCAGUCUCAAAUGACCAUUGGAAAACCUAUAGCCCACUGAGAGGCAGCCAAUAUAGUAAUGUCUCUAAUGAUAAACUCCAAUGAAAUCAAAAGUUCUUCUUUAAGAUUUGGAAAAAUAUAUUAGAUAAACCCGGACGUGGUGAACGCGGUGAACGCAGACGCACGGACGGUGAACACGGCAGAAGUUAGAGAUCCUCAGAGAGAACUUGGCAUUUUCGAAUGCGGUAGAGACAAGUCUAGGGCUUCAAAGGAUUCAACCCAAUAUUUUCUUUAUAUAUAUAUAUAUAUAAUAUAUAUUAUAUAUAUAUAAAUAUAUUUAAUAACACUUGACGUUUUCAAAAACGUCAAGAAAAACGAUCUUACUUAACGUCUAAAAAAACAUCAAGAAAUUUAAAAAAUAACUCUCUCUGGCUUUUUAUAAAAAUUCUUGACGUUUUAAAACAUAAAGAAUUUUUAAGAUAUUUCUUGACGUUUUUAAAAUGUCAAGUAAAAGUACAUAUUACUUGACGUUUGAAAAUUUUGAAGAAUAUUGAAUAUAUAAACAUUCUUGACGUUUAAAAAUGUCAAAAUUUUUAUAGAUAUUUCUUGACGUUUUUAAAACGCCAAGAAAAAAUACAUAUUAGUUGAUGUUUAAUAAACGUCAAGAAAUCUGAAAAUUGACCUACCCGCCUUUUCGUAAAAAUUCUUGACGUUUUAUCUUUGGAACUACUCCUUUCUUGACGUUUUUUUUGAAAAAAAUGUCAAGAAAGAAAAACAACAAACGUCAAGAAAGGCCUUUUUUGUAGUAAUGACAUACAUAAAUAUAUAUAUAUACAUAUAUAUAUAUAUAUAAUGAAUUAAAAUGGUUUUGUUGCUUUACUGUUUUACUCUAUAAAGGAAGAGCAUUAUAAAUAUAUUAUUGAGGAAACAUUUUUUGAAAUGACUGGUUUUGGAAGUGUCAUUAGAUUUUUAGUUAGUUAAGCACAUUUUCCUCCCAAAUAGUAGUCGAAAUACAACUUUUUUUAAGAAGAAGAAACCGAAUCAUUCAAACUAAGAUAAUCCUAGGAUAAGAGUCAUUAUCUAUUAACAUAGAGCUAAAGUUACAAGGUUGAAGGCUAGAGGGAAGCCCGAAACAACCUAAUCUAACAAAGCUUAAAGUUAAGAGUUGGUAGUAACAUCAUAUUGGUUACAAGAUGAAUGACGCCUAGACCAAACUCCGAUCAAGUUACAUAUGUCUUCCCACAAGUAAACAAUAAACCUUGAUUUAUCCUUAAAAAUUCUAUUGUUUCUUUCUAUCCAAACAGUCCAAAGUAAGCCAGUUAUGGAGGGAGGAAUACACAUUAGAAAGCUCAGUUAUGGAUGGAGGAAUACACAACUUUUUCUCAUGGUCAUUUUCCUCGUGGGCAUUAUCUUCAUGUUUCUUCUUAUUCCGACUAAAAUACAAGCACAAAUUAUUCUUCGCCUUCGUAUAGGUUUGUUUGAAGAAGAUUAAAAAAGUCCUUAAUUUAUCUCGACACUUCCAAAACCAGAAUAUAAUACCCGUGCUACAUAAAUCCCUCUUUCCAAAUAGUCAAACAUGAACUAUCCAUGAAUAUCUUGAAUAAACAAGAGAAACCCUAACUAAACCCAAAUAGAAAAUACGCUGCAAUCUAAAAUAUACUUAAAGAAACAAAAAGAAGUUUUAAUGAUGUGGGUUUUUUACUGAUCUUCUUCAACAACAAAAUAACUCAACGCCACAGUUCAAUUUUUCCUUCCACGAAUUGGUUUUUAAAGAGUUUUCACCGCGAAUUUAUCUUUUUGGUUCAACAAGUAAACAACAUGUGAAUCCCCAAAUGCAAGGUUUUAUUAAAAAAUUAAAAUAUAAUUUUUUUAAAAAAAUUAUAAUACCUAAUUUUUUUUUAUAUAUUUAUAACCUAAUUUUCUGUCAUUGCAUACUUGAGAGAAAUAUAUUUUCAAUUAGCAUAAUAACCUUUAUAUAGUAAAUUAAAUUUGUAGAAUGAGAAAAGACCUUAGAUCCAAAAAAGUUAUUUAUUUAUUAUUGGAGUGAAUUGUCUAAUUAAUGUAGUUAAUGGAUGGUUUUGUAACCAUAAAAAUAAUGAAAAUAAUUUUCUAAAAGAAUGAAUGAAAAUUUGGAAAGUUAAAAGGUUUUAGGAAUUAAAAAAAGGGUGUAACAUUAUAAAAGACUACCAAAUAUACUGUAAGAGACAUGCAUUAAAGAAGCUAAGGCAUGCAUACUACCAAAUAUACUAUAAAUAAACCAGAAUUCUUUUUAAGAAAUUAAACAACUAAUUAAAUAUAAAGAAGAAAGAUUAGAAAAUGAAUGAUCAAACAAACUAUGACUCAUUUAUUUUUGACAGGUUCGGCCAGUAUCACCUGACAAUUCAUUUUCACCAAGAGAAUAAACAUGAGUAGCCUUGGAAUCAAGUUCCUCCGAUAAAAGCCACGGAGUUGAUGGGUUAGAGACAGAACCAGAAUUUGAGUUCAACGAUCUGGAUGGAAAAUUCUGAAACUAGCAGCAACAAGAAGUUAAGAUAACGAAUUAUUUUCAAUAUAGAAAGGCUAAUUGUAAGAAGUUGUUAAUGAAGUGUCCAAAUGCAUUAUGGUAAUAUUGGGUGCAGAUUGUUUGGAAGUUUUAUCCGUGUGCUGUGAAGCACCACAGAGUUGAAGCAUAUGAAACCAGUGUUUAUCUGACAAAAAAUAAUGUCAUGAUCAUUGCCUUUCCAUUCCAUAAAUUUAUGGAUAGCAAAAGAAAGAGAACUCUCAACACAUGAAUCACCAUAAAGACACACAUGACAACAUUAUUUUGGAUGAAGUUCUAAUAUUGCAACCAUGGAGGAAAAAUCAGCAAAUCUUAAAUAGAUGUAGUAGUCCAAAUGAUAAAAGUUUGUCUCAAGAUAAUAUUUCAGUAACUGCAGAUGCAUUGUGCUGAAUCUAACUCUUGUGUUUCACGGUAAUGAACAAGGACAAUGUGUUCAAAGGUCCUGAACAAAAAGCAGAAGCAAGUCAUAAUUAUAUAAGUAGAACACGAUAUACUGCCACUGUCUAAUUUCAUUUUUCUUUGCUUGUGGCAUGAUGGGGAUAGACCCCACUGAAACAACUGGUAGCAAGCAAUUUAACAAUUUUCUUUCAACCAUAACAUACUUAUCUAGGAGCCAAUAACCCGCGAACAAAGGUUGGGCUAUCUAGUCCGUGGCAUAGUAUACAUGUAUCCUUUCUACAUUACCAACCUGCUGAAGAGAAAGAAAAGAUUAUCAAAGCACACCUUUCCUUGGUUAUUAAGGCUGUAAAAGAAUGAAAAUUACCAUAAAUCUAAACAUAGUUAAUAUUAGACCAUUGAACAACUUAUAGAUUCAAAAGGAAAGACUCAAACCACCAAUAGACUGGUUAAUCAUUUAAAAUGAUCUCCAACAACAUGAUACGCAGUAUAUCGUGCUAGAUCCAUAAUUACCAGAUGUGGACUCCUAUGGUAAUUUCAUUGAUGAUACGCAGCUAGUAGGCAAGAUUAUGAAAUGAAGACGGUAUGUGAGACGAUUGAAAAGAUCAAGAUGAUAAAAUUAUAGGGAUUUGAAUUUAUAUCUUAAGAACACCAGAGUCAAAUGCUUAAGAUGAUUAACUGUGUUAAAUUUAACUCUAUAAUAUAUAAAUUAUUAGCAAAAACAGUAGAAAUUACUUCAAAUUUGUAGAGAGAACAUAUAAAUUAUAUUCUAGAGAAAGAGCAUCUGAAUUAUAUUCUACAGAAACACGAGCCCAUAGUAUAUGUACUGAGUAGCAAUGACAGUGAAAAAGGGAAUAGUAAGUAACUAAUCUCAUAAACCCCUUUCUCACAUCUAACCAAGUUCUUUCACAACAUGCAAAAGCAUCAAAAUAUUUAAGAAAACUUCCAAUAUUGCAUUUGGAACUCAUUGAUUGACUUCAACGUUUAAGAGUCCUAAAAGACACAGCUUACUUUCUCACCUCUCACCACUAAACCUAUGGCAACAUCUUUUUAUAAGAUAUUAAGCUAAUCUUUAGAUUGUUUACCGAAUAAUCGUCUAUUGUUUUGUAAUUGAUCCCACCAAGCGCUUACGCCACCUUGAAGUUUGAGAGCAACUAAUCGAACCUUCUUGUGUUCGGGUGUAUUGGCAUAGUCGAAAAAAAUUUCUACGUUCUUGAUCCAAUCAAGAAACUUCUCCACGUCCAUUUGACCAUUGAAGGUAGGGAGAUCCACUUUCAUACGUAUUUCUUGAUCUUCUUGAAAGUAUGGUCGAAGUCCAAGCCUUUGUUGAGGUUCUUGAUGAAUGUUCAGCAAGUUGUUCAUCGGAAGAGUCAGAAUCGUUUAAGAAAUUUCCAAGUACGUUGUUUCCAUACAAUCGAUUAUUGUUGAUGUGAAUAGGUUGAUUUCUUAGUAGUUCUUGGUUUACAACAGGGUUUAUUGGUUUUUCUUGUCUUUCUUGGUUUGCUGCAAUUGGGUUUCUUGGGGGCUGAAUUGCUUCUUCUAAAGGUUGGACAUGAAAUCGGGUAAAAAGGUUUGUUAAUUCUACUAACGAUUGCUGUAUAUUCGAUUGCCCUUUUCGAAGUUCUUCAAUAGCUUGUUCUACCAACUGCAAGCGUUGGUUGAAGGAGGCUUCCGCGUCCAUGGAUAAGAGUGGUAGGAUCCAAGUUUUUUUAGGGAAGAGUGAGCUAGGAUCACGCUCUGAUACCAAUUGAUGCAGUAAUUGCAAAGCUAGAAAUCUUUAUGUAUAAUGCCUCUUUUUUUAUGUCUUAUUAAUGAAAAUGAGAAGCUUUUUUAUAGGCUGGAGAUUACAAGAGUUGUUAAACUAACUUGGGGUUGAGUUAGUUUAACUUGGAGUUGAGUUAGUUAUAACUAACUCAAGAUACAAAAUUGGUAAUUCAAAUAACUAAUCCUAAACUAUAAAAAUGGUAAUUCAAACCCCUCCUCUAGGAUAAAACUCAAGAAACAUCAAGAAGGUAGAUGUUCUACAUCAAAGUGUAGAGAACGAUUCAAAAUCCUUGGUGAAAGGAAUGAAUGUUAACUAAUGUGUGUUUAUGUGAAAUUGUUAUGUUAUGAGUAUGUUAAGGAUAAAGAAUGGUUUAUGCGAGAUAAAAUUAUUUGAUGUUGUUUAUGCGAAAUGAUGUCUAUGAAAAGGUAUUGCGAAAAGGAUUUCAUAAAACCUUAGUCUUUUAGACAUUCUUUCAAAAAUUCAUCUUCCAAGAUGAGGUGUUUAGGCCAAGUAGAGAAGAAGGUUGAAGGAUUUGCAGCGAGAUGACCAGACGUUUUGAAAAUAGUUAAGCAUUGGUUGUUUGGUCAAAGUGUUGUAAUUAUGUAUCAAACACAUGUUAUUAAUAAACAUCUUGGUAGGUAUUUAUUAUACUAAAGUCAAAGUGUUGGACUUUAGUAUUGCAUGGACAUACAAUUUUGAAUGAAAAAUCCUUAUAAAUGGGGCCUUUGAACUCAUUUGAUGGGUUGGCUAUUAUAUUUGGGCUUUCACACCAAAUGGAAUUUCUUUUUCUUAUUUACUUAAAAAAAAAAGAAAAUUUACCACGCCCAUUUUUUUCAUCUAUUUCUCUCGUCCGGUUCUUUCAUCCAACGGGUCCCACAACUCGAUUAUGAGUCUAGAGGAUACUAAGUCAAACUUAGUGGUUGUUCGAAUAAAACGCAGCUUCAAAUGUAAGUAUUCUAAAAACCUUAUUUUUUGGUUUAGUCUCGUUAACUAAGCCCAAUUAGGGUAGAAUUUCGAUUCUUUUUCUGUUGUGCAUGUCUUAGUUCUAUCAGUAACUCCUUUCAGGGUGAUAGCUCUCAUCAGCAGACUUUCCAUUGCUGGUUUCUUCCUUAGUCAUCAUUGUAUUGUUGUUUUCCACAAUAGAUAGGGUGAGUUGCAGUUUUACAUGAAAUGCACUGCUCAACCCACACUCUUUUCUCACUAGUUCCUUAUUCUCAAUCUUCAACGCAAAUUUCAUCAUCUGGGCCAACCCAAUCGGUUCCACGGUUUCCACUUCCAUUUUUAUUCAUGGGCUAAGCCCAAUCAUCAAAGUCUCCUCUAACACUACCGUUUGAAGAAAUGCUACCAGAGCUAAAUAUCGAUCAAAUCGGUUGCGGUAUUCUUCUACAUUCAUUUCUGUUUGAUUGAGAAAAAUCUUCCAACCAAAGUUCCUUCUCGAAUUGAUCGAAACUGUACAAGCAUUCGUUCUUUCAGGUCAGCCCAAUUCUUAAAAACUUCCAACUCUUCUUGUGCUUGGUACCAAUCCAAUGCCAGAUCAUCAAAACUAAUAACGCCUGUGGUUAAUUUCUCUGAAUCGGUAAGAUCAUGUAUCUUAAAGAAGCGAUAGGCUCUAAAUGUGAGACCCAUUUCUAAUUUGAGUAAUGAAGUAAAAUUGGCUAGGUAUUAAGAAUUUGGCGUUUGAAUAAAUCAACGAAAAGGAUUAAGCGAUAAAAAAAUUUAUGGUUAAGUAUACGUUAUUGCGAUUCAGUGGGUAGUUCGCGAAGGAAGUUGUGCGACCCAUUUCUAAUUUGAGUAAGGAAGUAAAAUUCGGCUAAGAAUUAAGAAGUUGGUGUUCAAAUAAAUCCAUGGAAAGAUUAAGUGAUAAGAUCUUUUACGGUUAAGUAUACUUUUUUGCGAUAAGUGGGUAGUUCGCGAAAGAAGUUGUGCGAUAAUGUAACACCCGAACUCUAAGGUAAUUAAUUUAAUCGGACCAUUCGAUAUUUUUACUCUUAAUUUUUGUUCGACGUCAUUUUGUUGUUUUGUCUUAAAAAAAAAAGUGUUGGAAAAGUCUUUCAUAAUAAUAAUAUAUUAUUAUUAUUAUUAUUAAUUAGCAUAAAAAAAAGGAAAAGAAAAAGAAAUUAAAAUAUCUUUUUCCUCUCUCCCCUCUCUCACGCGUGCGACACCCUCUCUCCAUCUUUUUCUUCUUCUCUUUCCUGUACCCUAACCCAGCCGACCAUCAUCUUCUCCCCUUCCCUUGCCGUUCAGAUCCAUGGCCUCCGCCCACCGCCGCGUGACCCUCUGCCCAGCCCCGCCGCGUGACCUCUGUCUCCGUCGAAGCCAAGUCCAGCCGUCGUCCAUUCCUUUCCUCUCUUCUUCUCCGUUCGUGAAGCCCAGUCGCCGCGUCAGAUCGUCGAUCGAUUUUGAGGCAGCGCGCACGCCUCCUUCUAGCCGCGCGUUUCCUCUUCUUCCAGCAACGUGUUUUUUCUUCUAACCGCGAUUCACAAACCGACGUACACUCUAAUCUGUUUGCACGAUGGUUUUUGUUUAGAAUCGAUUGCCGCUGCCCCUAUUUUUACUGAGAUCCGUCGAAGUAUUGUUGGUAAGAUUGAAGUUAUGAAAUUGUAGUCGUUUUCAAAACAAUUUAAGUAUGGGUUGUGAUGUUUUCAAGGUGUUCAAACGUUACGGAUGGGUUAAUUGACUAAUUUGAUAAAUUAUUCUUGAAGGUGUGAAAGGUAACCUUGGAUCACUUAAAUUCACAACCAAUUUGUGAAUUUUGAUUUCGAUUUCGUUUGCCCUUAUUUGGAUUGUUUCGUGGACGAUAGUUGAUUAAGGGAGCUUCCCUAACUUUGAGGUAAGGGACUUUCUACUGGACUCACCUAAAGUUUUUGAGUUGUGUUGGACUGUAUGGAUGAUGAUUAAGAUGUACACGUUUGGUUGCAGACUAAAUGUUUAGUGUAUGUUGUAUUUGACUGGAAACAUAUAUAUAAAUACAUUGAUGUGUGAAUUGAUGUGGAUUGCCGAAAGUAUACAUGUGAAUGACUGAAAUUAUGCUUAUGUGUACAUGAUGAUAUUAAUAGAUUGUGCUGUAUAAAGAUUUGGAUGUGAACUAGUGAAUUUGUUUCGGUUGAAUGUGGAUUAUACUGAACUGUGGUUUGCGCUGGUAAAAAUGAGGGGUGUUGUGACUUUGUUGUUUACUUGACAGAUGUAUUAAAAUGUUAUCAACGACCUUCGAACUUAAGUGAGAUAGGUUGACUGUUAGAAUGUUGAGUGAAAGAACUUUAUAUUUUGAAGUAACUGAAAGAUGUCAUAAAUUACCGUAAAGAUGGUUAGAAUGGAUUGAGGGGAAAAAUUGUUAGUUUUAUUGGGAUGUAUGCCUUGUAGGUGUCCUACGGGAUCACCAAUUUUUAUGCGACCUUCGGAGCAUUAGACUGAUAUGUGUUUCUGCAGAACACUAGACUGAAAUGUACGUCCCUCGGGGCGUUAGACUGAAAUGUGCAUCCUACGGGAUCACAAGACUGCGACUGUACAGGGUGUCCCAAUAGAAUGUUAACAAUUUAUUUUCCCCUGACGGGACCAGUAGAGGGUCUCUUACUGGGUAUUUUUAUACUCACCCUCCUUAUGUUUAAUUUUUCAGGCAAAGGUAAUAAAGGCAGCAAACCGGCGAGGGGCAGGAAGGAAGCGUGACCGCCACAGGGGACACUUUAAAAUUUUGCUUCCGCUUAGUGAUUUAUAGUAUUAUUUGUAUUCGAACGUGAGACUGUUUAGAAAAUUUUGAAGUUUUAAAGUAUUCAAAGAUUUGAAACUUUUUAGUUUUAAAUUUUCAUGUGAAUUUUAGUAAUUUAAAACUGGGGCCCAAACAAACAAAAUAAAUUUUGUUCUUUUGAGGUUUUAAAUUUUAAUUAACCAAGGUCUUUUGUCAAAAGUUAAUGACCUCGACUUAGGUAAAAAGUUGGGUCGUUACAGAUAAGAAGCGAAAAAGUCUUUGCGUAAGUUAAGAAAUGAAAGUUUUGAGUGUUAGACUAGGAGUUUUGGGUGGUCUUCGCGAGAAGAACCAAGUGUUUCGUGGAGAAGAAGUCUACGAGGAAGCCUUGGAGUUUAAGUUCGUGAUAAGAGUUUUAUGCGAGUAAAAGUUGGUUAGUUCAGGUGGAACGUUUCUUAUAAUAAAAAUAUAAUCAAGCGAUAAGGUUAUUCACGAGAAAUGUUAAGUGGUUGAAUUUAUUCACGGUUUGGGUUAGGCGGGGAGCAAGGUUUGUAAAGAAAAUGUCAAAUCUGAUUUGACAUGGGUUAACAUGUAAGAUUAAGGAUUUGAGCAUGACUAGGUUAAAUAUUAAGGAUUUGCAUGACUAAGUUAGUAUAAGGGAUCUAUAAAAUAGGAGAAUUUAGGUAACUAAGGAGGGGAUGACGAGAGUUUUGUUGAAAUGUUAAAGUGUUGUUGGUUUAGCCACGCGAAAAGAUGGUUGUGAGAAGGACUUCUUUAGUGAAGUUUGGUGAGUGCUUUUCAGUCAAAAGAAUUUAUGUUAAGAAACUUUAUUACGAUUUCUCUUUACUGAUUUGAAAGAAGAAUUCAGAUGAGAAUGUUUCAGAAAGAUUUCUACGAAAAGUUAUGUUUUCAAGCAUUAUUUAUAAUAUUAAAGCUUGAUUUGAUGACUAUGAUUUCAAUACUAUGUUUCUUUGAGAUGAUGCUAACUUUUGUGUGCACAUAAAGAGUGAAGGCCACCAUGGAGUGUACAAACUACAUGGUAAUAAGAAGCUGACUUAUGCAUUGAAAUGAGCGUAUAAAGCUUAGCGGUAUAGCAACAAAGACGAAUUUGUAUGUUCUCAGAUGUUGAUACAGUAGUCUAAACGCGAGGUAAUGAGACCAAGCGUAGAGAACGAUUCGGGAUCCUUGACAAAAUGAAAUGAUUUUUUAAGCAUAAAGAAAGGUUUAUUCGAAAUGAAAUAAUUUUUCGGUAUAUUUAAAUGAUUUGAUAUUAUUUUUACAAAAUGAUUAUGAAAAGGUAUUGUGAAAGGUUUUCAUAAAACCUUAAAGGAUUUAAAAAAAAAGUGGACCAUUCAACUUAAUUCCCAUCCACUAUCCUCUUGUCCAACAUGAAACUUUAUCUUAGUAAAACUUCUUGAUCCACUAUUUUACAAAAAUAUUCAAAACAAUACCAUACUACACCAAAUGUGAUAUUUUGGUAACACUUAAAAUGGUCAGAAAUACCAUUUUCCUGACUUUUUUUUCAUCGACCAUUAAAGAAAAAGUAUAGAUGAUGUUUCACAAAAACUUCCAAACCAUUGUGUUAGUUAUCGUUUUGGAUGAGGGUUGGGGUAGAGCAUCAAUACUCAAAGGUUGUUAAGAAUUAAGACCUAAGACUUGAAAACGAAACCGCCUGCCUGGUUGACAACAACACCAUCCCACUAGAGUGCACAAUGAUGAUUUAUUGCAUUAAGAAGAAGAUGGCAGUUAACCUUAGCGCCAUAAUCAGAACCUCAAUCCUCCCUUUGAUGAAAGCACCUAAAGGUGUCAUGCCUUUCCCCUCUACCACAUUGAAGCUCUUUGUCUAACACUACAAGAAAUGAGGACUCUCUCGAUGCAUAAAAUCAUUGGGAGAUAUAUAAAAAGCGUCAGAAAAGGCUUUUCUGACGCACUAAUAUACGUCGGAACACAAGUGAGGAAAAUGUAUCGGGAGAGGAACUCCGAUGCACAAUGUUGUGCGUUGAGGGUUUCUAGACAUCUUCCGACGUUGUAUGAACGUCGAAGAUGUUGUCAAUAUAGCAUCGAGAGAUGUCUAGGAACCAUGCGUCGGGAGAUCCUCUAUUUUUUUUUAAAAAAAAUAACUUCAUUUAAUUCCUAAAUUCAAAUUGAAAAUUUUAAAUUCAAACUCAACUUCAACACUUCAACCUCAACUUCAACACUUCAAUCUCAACUUCAACACUUCAAAUUCAAAUUUCUAAAACCUACAACUAAUUCAAAAUUCUAACAACACUUGAAAUUAAAUUUCAUUACUAAAACUUACAACUAAUUCAAAAUCUAAAUACUAAAGAAAUCUAAAAUCUAACACCUAAAACAAAUUUGAAAUCUAAAUACUAAAACUAAUUAACUAAAACAAAACAAUAACUAAACUAAACCACUUACCGAUGGCGACGACGACGGGACGACAACAGGGACGACAAUGGUGAUGACAAUGCCCUCUUCUUCUCAAUCUUCCUCUCGGUCUCCCUCUCCCUCUCUCAUUUUCUUUCUCUUUAUGUUUCCUUUAUGUAAAGAAUGGAGUUAAAAAAGACAGAGAACUCCUGACGCACGACGAAAACGUCGGGAAUAGCACCCUAUUCAUGACCUGAUUUGUUAAACGUCAGAAAUCCCUAAACAUAUUCCCACGCGAUUAAUGAUACGUCGGGAAUCCCUAAAUCUAUUCUCAACGUUGCUGCCACACGUAAGAGGAAGGCGUUACAUACAAUUAAUGAUCUGCCCUUCCUCCGACGGUUCCUAAGCUUUUAGCUUUUCUGCAAUCACCCCUUAUGCAUGUUCUCAGGCGAAUCUCAACCAAACCAUAACACUCCAUCAAAAUAAAGAAGAAGAGAGACACCUCAAAACCUUAAAUAAAGUUAAGGGAGAAGAAUGGAAUGACAGAGAAGAAGAAGAGGCUUCUCCGCUGCCACCACUACUCAAGAGGAGAAAUGUCCACGAUGACGCGUCUAACUCGUAUAAAAAGGAAAAAAGUCGAAAGCUAGACGUGGCCAUCGACCCUAAACCUCUUGCAAUCUGACCCCUAACUCUCUCAUUGCCUCCUCCAAAAUCCAAAUCCUUCAAUUCCAGUCCUCAUCCAAAAAUUGAAACUCCCCCUCAUCAAUCUUACCCAAGUCCUCUCGCAUGUCUAUUAUCCUCUCACCACCAAAUCCCCCAUCAUUAUAACAACAUCCUUCACCUCACGACCUGACCGAACAAGCCCUUACCCGAUCAAAAGGGCAUUGUUAGCGAAGAAGAAUUCCUUAGGGUUGAGGAGGAAGACCUGCAUCACAUUCCUCUCCCUCCGCACACUACUAUACGUAAUUCCAAGGAGGAAGACUUACAUCUCGCGUGUAAACACCGAUACCCAAUAAUCCUUAAUUCAUCUAAAGAACUCAAUAGGACAUUAGGGGUUGAUGUUAGGAGAAAGAUGGUUUAAGAUUGGAUAGUUUAGUUGAAGUGUUAUGGAAGAUGUGUUAAUAUUUUUAAGAUGAUAAAAGAAAAGUGUCAUCGUAACAAAGAAAGGCCUAAAGGGUGUUCGAAAAUUGGCUAAGUGUUGGCUAGGGCAUGUUGCAUACUCUAGGCGGCCAAAAGUGUCAAGCGAACCUCUAAAGAGACAUGUUGGGUGGCCAAAGGUUGAGAUGUGGUAUGGCCGAAAGGUGUCAAGACAACCUCUAUAAGACAAGGCUAUAUGACCAAGGGUAUGCGCUAGGCAAGGAAGCUAAGCAUCUAGGAAAUGUCAAGAAACUCUAAAGAAGUUAGAACGUGGAUAAGGAAUGUCAUGCAACAAAGAGGUGGGCUAUGUGGACAUAGGUCAUGCGGCCAAUGGGGCAAUUCAACCAAAUGCUAGUCAAGAUGGCAUGGUUUGUUGAAGGCAUUGAGGGAUGUUUGGGAGAUUAGGCGAGAAAAAAAAGUCUUAGGCAUUCUUGGCAGUAAGAAUUUACUAAAGAACCCUCAUAGAAAAAGGGAUAUGCGUCCAAGGAUGACUUAAGCAAUAUGAGGUAAGAUGUGCGGUAGAGUACAAGUGGACAACAUACAAGAUACCUAAGUUUUGCCAAAUAAGUGUCUUGCAUGAGUUGGAAAGUGGCAAGUAUGGGCGUAAGAGGUGAGAAAAAAAGGUUCAACCAAAGAGCAUGCAAGGAUCACUAUAUGUACAACUUUGGACGAAUUAUGUUAACAAUCAACUUGUGUUAAUUGGGUAACUCUACUUCGAAAAUCUCCUAAAUUGAGUGUAGUAUCAAGAGAAAGGCUACCAAGAAGAAAGGCAUUGAAGUGAAGAAAGACUCAAAGGUCAUUUUCAAAAAAAAAAAAAAAAAAACUUGAACAAUGUAGAGUAUUUUGAGCUACAUAACUCAAUACUUGGAAUUUGUUAGUGACACUUUGUGGUAAGCUAGUGAAGACAUUCUAAGUAAGUUUGUAGAAGGAAUCUUAUUGAUUUAAGCUUCAAAGUCGAGUUAAGUUUCUGGUAGAAAAAUCAUAUUUCUAGACAAGGCCAUGGGUGGGUUGAUUGCCAGGAUGACAAGGUGAGAUGAGCGUGUGUUUUGAGCGAAAGAGGUUAUUUAGGCUUGGGACAUGCAAGAAGCAUGUCCUGGCAUGAUCAAGCAGCCUGAGCCACGCGUCAUUACACACUCUAUUAUGAAAGUUGAGUAUAUUGCUACUUGUGAAGCAGCAAAAGAAGCAGUUUUGGUGAGGAAGUUCUUGCAUAAUUUGGAAGUUGUUCCAAACAUGAACAUGCCCCAUCACUUUAUAUUGUGAUAAUAGUGGGGCAUAUUACUAAUCCAUUUACAAAGACUCUCAUGGCUAAAGUGUUCGAGGGUCUUCUAGAAAGUCUAGAUCUGCGAGUUAUGUACAUUAGGUAAUCUAGGAAAAGUGGCAGAUGUGUAAUGGGUAUGAGGAUGCCCUAGUUUAUUGUAUUUGUAUAUACACAUUUUAUGUAAUACACUUGUACAUUUUACCAUUUUCAAUGUUAGAGGAUUACUUUAUUAUGAACAUCCCAAAGAGACGAGAGUUUUAGUCCAAGUGGGAGUUUGUUGGAAUUUAUGUCCUAAAACUCGUAGAUUGUAAAUAUAAUCCAUUGACCAUUGUUAAUAAAGUGUUAUUAUUGUAAUAAUUGUUAUUGAUUAUAUUAUUAGUUUUGUCUUAAUAACUCAAAUCCAAUAAACUAACAUCCUAAACUGUUUAAUAAGUAUUGAAUAGUAUGUAGAGACAUACAGGGAUCAAUGUUCGAGAUCAGCUUAAAGGGUCUAUAGUAUACGGAUAAGACUGGGUACCUUUAUCCUGGUAACAUUAUGAAUACGACUCACUUUGUAUUUGAUACAAAUACAAUGAUCCAAUGUGUUCAUGUAGUUGACAUGCGAGUGAAGGUAUCCUAUGCAAUGAGAUUGCAAUAGACUAGACUGUGAAAUAGUAACCACUUGGUGUUACUACAUUAACUAGUUAGGUUUCUAUUUCACUAGGAUGACCUAGAUAACUUAGUCUUAAUCUUGAGUGUAUUAUGAACUCAAUGAUCUUGGAUGAAUUUGACUUCAAAUACAAACUUGGAUUCCACAACCUAAACCAAAAUAAAAUAAUAUAUCAUGUUAAGAUGGAUUCACAUAGCAACAUUUUAUCAAAUGGUUGCAAUGUUUCAAAUAAGCAACAAUUAAAAUUCACAUAUCGAUUUGGCAUCUAUAAAUAUACAAACUAAAAAGUACCUAAAUGUCAAUUAUUUACCCAAUAAGGCUAACUAAGUAACCAACGUCUAAUAUGUUUUGCAAUGAAAAAGGUUGCCAUAUUGUUAAUUUGGCCAUAUUGUGAAGGCAACCUCUUAGAUGUGUUUGUGAGAAAGGAAAGAAAUACCAAAAUAAGUAUGGACUAAGAUAGUAUCAAAUAAAGUUAAAGUUGAAUUUUAAAGCUCUAUUUUUUUCAAGAUAGAGAAAUUUCAGCUAAAGAGGAAAACACUAAGGACAACCAAGCAAAAAAGUCUAACAAAUAUCAAAAGAGAACAUGCAGGAAAGAAAGAAUGUAAAUAAGGUUUUAUCCGCACCAAGCAAAAAAGUCUAACAAGUAUCAAAAGCUUCAUAAGUUGUACUAGAAUUCAAAGCUCUAAACUCUAAAGAAUGUAAAUUUCUUUGAAGAAAUUUGUGUAUAAAGGUCACACAGUUGAAAAUUCAAUACCUUUUCAAGAAUGUUGUUGAGAAGAUUAUUGUGAUGAAUCUUUGAAUCCAAAUUAUGGAGACAAGAUAAAUAAAUGAGUUCUGAUUCUAACUGACUGAAUGAGAGUUUAGAAAAUAAGAACAUUGGAGUUGAAUUAUCAGCAUUUAUUUUAAUCAAACUUACGAUAGCAAACCAAAUUAUAGAGAGAGAUCAAAUGCUAGGAUAAAGGAAUAAUCUUACAUUUGGUGAGUUCCCAAAUGUUGUGGUAGUCACGAGAGUUAUUCCACUCGAAUUGUCUUAGACAAGAGGCUUCCAUUCAGCAAGUACUGGUGAGAAUUAAAGUGGAAUGACAAACUUAAAAACACCUAAUCUUUAACAAACUUUUCCGACUUUUUGCAAUUAUUUUUUAACACAAGAUAUCAAAACACACUUAAAAACCAUAACAACCAAUUACCAUAAAACGGUGUCCAAUAACAAUAAUUGGGUCAACCCAAACAUCAUCAAAUUCUUGGGAAAGGUUGUGGACUAGACCUUCACCAUCUUGCCCCUAAAACAAGUUAAAGCUUAAGGAAAGAACACAGUAGAAACAAAAAUCAUAAACUCAUCAGUUAGAUAGUAUUGGUGGUCAAAACCUCAAGGUCUCACUUCUUCCAUUUUAUAUUACCAAAUUUGAAAAUGAUUUUUAAUAUAUGAUCAUUACUUGAAACAUGUUGGUGUACAAGUGUGAAUGAAACUAAAUCAAGUUUGUGUUUUAUGUUAUUGUUUUUGACAGUAUAUUUAUGUGCUAUGCAAUCCAUGAGAGUAUAUUUAUGUGCUAUGCAAUCCAGAAGGGGGAAUGCAAGCUAUACCCAAUUCAUAAUUGUAUUUGGAACACUAAUGAUUUUAGCACAAAUUCCAUCUUUCCAUUCUCUAAGACAUAUAAACCUUAUCUCCCUCACUCUAUACCUUGGCUAUAGUGCUCUUGCAACAUAUUAAAAUUCUCGUAAUUAAAAAUUCAUACACAAUUUAAAUUAAAUUAAACAUCAAGACCCCUGACGAAGAUGAAUCUCUGUUCAUUUUUCUUUUUAUUAACAAACAAAAGUUUUUAGGUCAACUUCUUUCAACAACCUCCUCAAGGAUCCUUAAUUAUCUCUUUCCAAGUUCAUAACCACUCUAGUCAUGCAAAGAUUAAGGUUCAUGGCCAAUCAACAAUUAAUCUGUGAUUAAGAUAUUAUGAACGCUAUUCACAUAAAAACAUGAAAAGAUUAAGAGCAAAUAAUCAGAUGCAUUACAAAGAAUAAUUCAUAAACUUUGUCUACAUCUAUCCCUAGGAUUAAGAGUUUAGCUACCCCAUACUUCACAAUCUAAAACACAAAACUCAAUACAAUACCCAUAAAAAAAAUUAAAGGAGAAGAAAAAGAAAACGAAGAAGAAAAGCUAGUGAUUCGUAUUAUUAUAAUACUGUGUAUAACAGUAUGUGUUUUUUAAUAUUCUCUGUUUCCAGCUCCAAUGUACCAAAAUAUUAUCACAAACUCCACAAUCCUUCUCUUUCCAAUCCCUAAACUAACCAAUGAAUCAUAUUCGCACGCUUGGUAGCCUUGUUCAAAAUAUUAUAUAUUACAAUUAUAAUAACUUGUAUCCCCCCUUUUCAAGCCUAAAAUGCAAAACCUUUCUUCCAUUCUCUAAGGCAUAUUUCCUCUUCUUUAAUUUUGCAUUCCAAUUUUAAAUUACAAAUUACAAAUUUUAAUCACAAAGGAAAAAAGGAAAAUUAUUACCUUUAGAAAGGGAAGAAAAUAAAUGAGUAACCAUGAAGGAUUUGGAAACGAAUAGAGGUUUAGCGAAAGUGGAAUGCGACAGAAGGACGGUGAAUGUGUUUACUCGUUUUCGAACAGAGAAUGUGUUUACGCAUUCCGAACGGUGAACAGACGGACGCAAAUCAACGAAGGUGAAGGGAACGCAAAGCAGACGGACGGUGACGGACGAUGAACGCAAAUGAAUGAAGGUGAAUGCUUAUGAACGCGAAGGGAAGUCUUUUCCGGCGAUGAACGCAGAUGAAUGCACAGAUGAACGCGAAGGGAAGGUUAGGUGAACGACGCUUUUGAUUUCGGGUGGAGAAGGGACAAAGUCGCGGCGAAUUAGGUUUAAUUAAGAAAAGGGGAAGUGAUCUAAUUGAAACGUUGGGUUUUGUAAAAGAAUAUUAACACAAUAAUUUUUUAGAAAUUUCUUGACGUUUUUAAAACGUCAAAAACAAAUUAAAAUUUCUUGAACUUUUUAAAACAUCAAUGAUUUUUUAGAAUUAUCUUGACGUUUUAAAAACGUCAAGAAUUUUUUAUAAAUUUCUUGACGUUUUUAAAAAUGUCAAGAACUUUUUAGAAUUAUCUCGACAUUUUAAAAACGUUAAGAAUUUUUAUAAAUUUCUUGAUGUUUUUAAAACGUCGAGGAAAACUAUAUAUUAUUGACGUUUAAAAAACAUCAAGAAAGUUGAAUUCAUAAACAUUCUUGACGUUUUUUAAACGUCAAAAAUUAUUAGAUAUUUCUUGAUGUUUAAAAAACGUCAAGAAAAAGUACAUCUUACUUGACGUUUAAUUGCAUAAAAAACGUCAAGAAAAAACGUCAAGAAAGUUGAAAAUUGGCCUUUCAUAAAAAUUCUUGACGCUUUUUUAUUUGAAAUCACAUCUUUCUUGACGUUUUUGGGAAAAAACGUCAAGAAAGGAAAACUACAACCGUCAAGAGAGCCUGUUUUUGUAGUAGUGAUUUUGGGGACAAGACUGAGUGGGGAGUUGGGAUUAUAAUUGCACAAAAUGGAAUUCACUCAUUUCCUACUGUAGGAUAAGUAGAUGAAUGUUAGCUUAAAUGGUGUCUCCAAAACUUAAACAAAGGGCCCGUACUCUCUCUAUGACAUGAGAGGGGUUUUUGUUUAUUAGUAGGACCAUAAACAAGUUGUUCAUUAGAGGAGCACUAGUUUUUAAGGAUUAGAGGUAACAUAGGGGUAAAGCGGUAAAUUGAUCCAACUGGUGUUACAAACACUCGUGAAGGACUAACUUACUAUUAUUGGUCUAUAUCCGUGGACACAGAAAUAUAUUUUUAGUGAGAAGAGUUCAGUUGUGAGUCUUUAGUGGAGUGUACACACAACUAACGAAUAUUGAUUAAUGUGGUUAAUGAGUUUAGCCAAUUAAUCUUAGAUCGUUGUAGCUUCUGAUCUGUAGGUCCACUAGGUCCCUUUCCUAGCUCGUAAAGGGUAAUGAGAUUUAUUUGUAUUAGUUGUAAUUUAAAAUGUUUAAAUUUAACUUGGGAAUUAGUAUAAUGUAUAGUGAUACAUUAUAAUAUAAAGUUUAUCAAACUUUACUAUAUAAAUUUAACUUUGGGGAUGAUUUAAAAUUAAUUUAUGAGAGAUAAAAUAUUUGAAUGAGUUCAAAUAUUAAUUUAAUGUAAAUUGGAUUCAUAUUAAAAUUAUUGAGAGAAACUUAUAUUUGAAUAUGAUUCAAAAUUAAUUUAAGUUAAAUAUAAGAUAAAUAAUUUAAUGUUAUUAGUUAAUUGGAGAAUUAAUUAAUAGUUUAGUUUAAUAUUAUUUAAUUAAAUGUGAUUUCAUUAAUUAUUAACUAAUUGAUUAAUGUUUAAUUAAUCAGUAGAUUUGAAAUAUAUAUUAAUUUAAUUGUUUGUAAAUUAAUAGAAUCUCAUAGUUCUCUUCUACUUCAUUUUUUAUUCCUAGAAGGAAAGAGAGUUAUAAUAUCUAGAAGAAAACAAUUUUCUUAAAAAAUGAAUAUAAUAAAAAAAGAAAAAAUAAGGCUAACGCUAUUGCUCUUUGCAAAAAGAAAAGAGUUUCUCUCAAUAUCUCUAAACUUUUUCCCAUCCCAAUUGGUUCCACAAACCAAUCUUAUCACAGAGGUACUCUUUGCAAUUUAAGCUCUCUUUGCAAUGGACAGUCUUCAAAGUUUUUUUAACGAUGUUUCUAAUGCUUUCCUUUCUCUCUCAUGUUUAAUAAAACAAAUUUCUCUUAAAACCUGUAGGGAGGCUACAUCGUAUCGAAUUUCAUACAACUGACGUGUUCAUCGAGUUACAACAAGUGCCGCACAAUAGUCUGUUCCAUGUUUGAAAAGUUGUGAGUGUGACACGCUGCACAUGAGGUUAGAACGAGACAUGGCAAGGCAAGCUCUACGCGCACCUGCCAACUUCUGCCACAAUAUUUUGUACGCAAGCUAAUGUCUUUGGGCUGUUUUUAUGGUAUUUGGAAAUUUUAAGCAAAGUUUUGAUAUUUUUAUGAUCAACAGGAAUUAAAUGGAAUUAUUUCCCAUUAUUUUCAUUAUUUUAGAUCAGAAGGAGAUCGAACAAAUUUAUAAGCCAAGGGUCCAAGCUACUCUCUAUAAGUGACAAAAAUGAGUUUAAAGUUGAUUUCUAAACAUGAAUUUACUAUCAAAUGUUUCAAGCAUGCUUUGAUGUUUGAAUAUUUGAGGAUACUGACUUAUAAAGUAUUUCCAAAGCAUGAAUUUAGAAACAUUUUGGUAAUGAAAAUUAUAAGCAAUCAUGAUUGUGCUAAGUUAUCAAAAUGUUUAAGCUUGAAAAUAAUAUUAGCAUGUUUUAGUCUAUACCUAAAAUAUUCUAAGAUAUAUAGCAACCCUUCGGGAGAGAUUUUCUUGUGCAUAGAGGUCAUUUGAUUUGGAUAUUCAGUAAAUACCUAGCUUUCCAUCAUUGGUAUUAGAUAAGAGAUGAAGACUUCUAAAGAUGCUUAGUUUCCCAUCUCAAGGGACGAGACCCUGUACGAAUGCCUAGUUUCCAUCUCAUUGUAGUUAUAACGAGAUAGGGCACAAUUGAUGCCUAGAGUUUCAUCUCGUAAGUAUCGUAUCACGGGAUAGGGCUUCUAUGCCUAGUUUAUUGUUUUUCGUCUUGACGAUUCUAGUAUAGCAACUGAAAGGGAAAGUUUGAGAUAAGUUGUUUGAGUUUGAUUUCAUUUAUGUUAAGAGUUAAUUGUUAAAUACUUAUUAUUUCAAACAAUGUUUUAUAAAACAAUCACUCAUUGGGCUAUUUAGCUCACUCUUUGGAUAAAUAUCCCCAUAUGGAUUACGUUGUUUGGAAAAUUAAACUGUCUUUAGUACUUCAAAGAAAACUUCCCUCCCAUGUCCUCUCACCUCAUGUCAUCCCAUUUGUGUUGAUAACAUGAAAAAUAUUUAGCACCUUUUAAUUGAUUAUGUCUUUGUAUCGAAAUGUUGGUUCCGUCUUCUCCAAACAUUCAAUAUUUGUUGGGAUUUUUUGCUCAAUCAAGGCUUAUUCUUGUUUGUUCUCGACCUGCUACCUAUGAUUUAUGAUUUUGUUUUGGACAUAUUAUUUUAUCAUUUUGUUUGGUUUUAUAUUUGUGGCUUUUUUUUUGUUUUGUUUUGUGUUUUGUUUUUUUUUUUUUUUGAAAAGGAGACAACCUCUUUAUUAAUAUUAAAAUAAUAAAAUAAUUAGACAAAAGCUCAUGGUACAAGAGAGUUAUACAAUGAACAUGUAACCAUGGAUCAGAGGGUGCACCUUGGCAUCUCAACUAGGUUGACACCCCCAUAGCACCCUCAUCAUAUCCAACCAAGCUAAAACCCAUAACAAAGGAGUAAUGUCCAAAGGCAAAACAAACACAAAAAAAGCCUUCUAUUUGUGGCUUUUGUUUUGAUCUUGUGUUGUCGCUUUUUGGAUGUGAUGAGGGCGCUAAGGGGGUGUCAACACUCAAACCUUAUGACGUAACAAAUGCAAAUUUUAUGACGUUUUUAGGGGUAGUCCCUCCCAUUACUAGCUCAACACUCAAACGGAGUCUCCUGUAUAAAAUAUAAAAUAAUACAGACACAAAUAGUGAAUGAAAUCUUAUGACGUAACAAAUGCAAAUUUUAUGUAUACUGCAAUUGACUAAAUAUUGAACAAGAAAGCCCAAGGGAAUACAAAAAAAUCCAACGUUUUUAGGGGUCAAUUUGAAAAAUGGCAAAAUUACUUUUUCUUUUCAAUUUUAGCAAACAACAUUUUUUGCACGUGCAUGGUAUUUUAUAAAAUACCAGAAUAUCAACAUUCUUCAACUGUAGUUAUUUCGUUUCUACAUUGUAAUUAAUUUAUGUUAUGCAUUUAUCAGUUUUUAAUUAUCUUUUACUUGAAAUAGAUACAUCAACUCAUAUCAUAAUAUUUUUCUUAAUAUCUCGAGUCUCAACUAAUUAAUUCACAUAUUAAUAACUUUAUUCAAUCAUACUAAUUUCAAAAUAACCUAAUUGAAUUUGAAUUUCAAAAUAACAAAAUUAUUAUUUUUCGGAAUUUGAGAGUCUCAACGAUAGAUUUUGUAUUAAAAUAACCUUAAUUGAAUUUCAAAAAUAAAAAAUAUCAACAUGUUCACUAUCUUUAUCUCAAAAUAACAUUAAUGCCUUGAAUAUCAAGAUAAUUAAAUUAUUAUUUAAAAUUGGAAGAAACUCAACAUUAAAAAAUAUUAACUUGUUCGCACACAAGCAUAGAAGCACUGCGCACACACGUACACAUGCACACUUACACACACGCGCACACACGCACAUCUACACACAGACACCCACAGACACACGAACGCAUGCACAUACACAUGCACACGCGCACGCAUGCACAUACACAUGCACACGAGCACGCAUGCACACGCACACACCUAUCCACACGCGCGCACAAGCACACACACAUGCACAAACGCACACACGCGUACGCACAAACGCACACACUUAUACACAUACGCACACGCGCACAAACACGCACGCACGAGCACACACACACCUAAGCACACACGCAAUAGCCUGCGCACACACACGCACGCACAAACACAUACAAACAUGCACACACCCACACAUAUAUGCACACGGACACUCGCAACAAACGCACGCACAUACACAUACGCACACCUACCUACACGCACACACGUACACACGCACAUAUGCAUAAAGAUGUAUAAAUGAGUUAAAAUUAAAAAAAAACUACAUUAAUUGUGUUUAGAAGGACUUUUAAACCAUGUUCAUUUGACUUAAUAACAUUAAUUAAACUAUAAUUUCUAUCAAUAUUGGCUUAAAAAGUGUCAUUCGUGUAAUUAUUUCAAUAUAAUGCGAUUUUAUCCAAUUCUAUUUGCAACAAACAGGUCGAAUAUGAACCAGUAGAUAUACAUGUCAUAAGAGAUAUAGGAACAUUUUUAUGGUCAUUUUGAAAAAUGCAAAACUUUUUGUAACGACCCAACUUUUCUAGGUAAGUCGAGGUCAUUAAUUUUUAAUAAAAGACUUUGUUGAUACAAAAUGAAGCGUAAGUCAAUUUAAAAAAAAAUAUGUCAGGCCUGAUUUUCAAAUAUCAAGAAAACUUAAAAAUAACACUAUUUACAAAUAAAAGUUUGUAAACUAAGUUUUUAGUACAUCUUAAACCUUAAAAGAAACAUAAGCGGAAGCAAAAUACACAUUUCCUAUGGCAAUCACGCUUCCUUCCUGCCCCUCGCCGGUUUGCCACCUUUAUUUCCUUUGCCUGAAAAUUAAACAUAAGAAGGGUGAGUAUUUUAAAUACUCAGUAAGAGACCCUAUACUGGUCUCGUCAGGGAAAAUAAAUUGUUAAAGUUCUAUUGGGACACCCUGUACAGUCGCAGUCUUGUGAUCCCGUAGGAUACACAUUCAGUCUAACGCCCCGAAGGACGUACAUAUCAGUCUGACGCCCCGAGGGACGUACAUAUCAGUCUAACGCCCCGAGGGACGUACAUAUCAGUCUAACGCCCCGAGGGACGUACAUAUCAGUCAAGUGUUCUGCAGAAACACAUAUCAGUCAAAUACUCCCGAAGGUGCAAAAUAAAUUGGUGAUCCCGUGGGACACCUACAAGGUAAACAUCCCAAUACAACCUAACAAUUUAUCCCCUCAUUCCAUUCAACCCAUCUUUCAGUUACUUCAAAUCACAAAGUCCUUUCUUUCAACAUCCUAACAGUCAACUUAUUUUACUACAGUCAUAUGUCUGUCAAUAAUAUGCUAAUACAUCAGUCAAUCACUAUACAGUCAAGUCAAUACACCCCUCAGUUCACCAGCACAAACCACAGUUCAGUAUAAUCCACAUCCAACUGAAACAAAUUCACUAGUUCACAUCCAAUCUUUAUACAGCACAAUCUAUUAAUAUCAUCAUGUACACAGAAGCAUAAUUUCAGUCAUUCACAUGUAUACUUUCGGCAAUCCACAUCAAUUCACACAUCAAUGUAUAUAUAUAUGUUUCCAGUCAAAUACAACAUACACUAAACAUUUAGUCUGCAAUCAAACAUGUACAUCUUAAUCAUCAUCCAUACAGUCCAACACAACUCAAAAACUUUAGGUAAGUCCAGUAGAAAAUCCCUUACCUCACUUUUAUGCAAGUUCUUCAAUCUACUAAAUCCAAUGAAUCAAAUCCUAAACAUAAUCAAUCAUAAAAUCAACAUCUUUCUAAAUAGUUUCAACCAUUCAAAUUACCCCAUAUGUAAAUUCCACAACUUACCCAAGAAGUGGAAAAUCAAGUCCACUUCAACCUUUUGGAAAAUCAAGGAUUCGCUCACUGAAUCAAGAUGUACCUUCAAGAAUUAAGCAUUUCGCCAACAAUUAAAUCCAAUGGCAGCAUCCAACAAAAACCAAGAAACCAACAAAAACCAUAACUUGUUCUUACCCAAAUAUGAGCCCAAUGGUUCACGGCGAGGCAGAUCUGGACGACGAUUUGCUUUGCGAGGGAGGCACGACGGUUGUGAGCGAGAGGCACGACGGUUACAGGCGGAUGGGCGCGACGGUUUAGAUCUGAAGAAGAAAAGAGAGGGUGGCGGUUGGGUUCGGCGAGCGGCGGCGGUUUUGCUUCGCGAACGGAGAUGGAGACGGCAAUUCGGCGCGCGGGACGACUGCAACGCAAAUCUGGACUGGCAGCGGCACGGUCUUGCUUCGCGGCUGGGUAUGGUGAAAAAGAAAGAGAAACGGAAGAAGAGAAGUCUCGGGUGGCGGUUGCUGGGCUACGGCGGUUGCUGGGCUGCGGCGGAAGGAGAAAAUGGAAGGAAGAGAUCGGCGGAAAGAAGGAGAAGAUGGAUGGGAGUCACGAUCGCACGGGAAGAAGAAGGGAGAAAAGAAAAGAAAAGAAAAGAAGAAAAGAAAAAUAAUAAAGAAAUUUUUAAUAUAAAGUAAAAUAAAAAUAUAUAUAUAUAUAUAUAUAUAUAUAUUACCUUUUUGGGCAUUACAUUCUUCCCUCCUUAAGAAACUUUCGUCCUCGAAAGUUCUAAUCCUGAAAUAACUCUGGAUAACGAGUCCUCAUUUCUUCCUCUCGCUCCCAUGUCGCCUCUUCAAUUCGAUGAUUCCGCCACAAAACCUUUACUAAUGGAAUGCUUCUAUUACGAAGCAUCUUUACCUCUCUAGCCAAAAUCUCCACAGGUUGUUCAACAUAGCUCAAAUGCUCGUCAAUCUCCAAGGUUCAUAGUCCACUACAUGAGAUGUAUCGGCCACAUACUUCCUCAACAUCGAAACAUGGAAAACAUUAUGAACUGCAGAGAGAGAUGGUGGUAAUGCCAAGCGAUACGCCACAACACCAACCCUCUCUAAGAUCUCAAAUGGUCCAACAAAACGAGGACUUAACUUUCCCUUCUCAAAACGCAUAACACCCUUCAUAGGUGCUACCUUCAAGAAUACCUUUUCUCCCACAUCGAACUUAAGGUCUUUUCGCCGUACAUCUGCAUAACUCUUCUGUCUACUCUGCGCUGUUUGCAUACGCGUCCUAAUCGUUUGAAUAGCCUCAUUAGUAGACCGAACUAAUUCAGGUCCCAUCAAUCUAUGUUCACCAACCUCACUCCAACAAACAGGGGUUCUACAACAUUUGCCAUACAAAGCCUCAAAUGGUGCCAUACCGAUGGUAGCCUGGAAACUGUUGUUAUAAGCAAACUCCAUCAAAUGUAGAUGAGAGUCCCAACUACCUGGAAACUCUAUAACACAAGCUCGUAGCAUAUCCUCUAAAACUUGGUUCAAACGUUCAGUUUGACCAUCAGUCUGUGGAUGAAAGGCUGUACUGAAAUCCAAUCUCGUACCCAUAGCAGUCUGAAGUCCCUUCCAAAACUUGGAAGUAAACCGUGCAUCCCUAUCAGAAACAAUCGAUACAGGCACUCCAUGCAGUCUCACAAUCUCAGUUAAAUACAACUCUGCCCACUUACUAGCAGUAUAAGUGGAUUUUCCUGGUACAAAAUGUGCCGAUUUCGUAAGCCUGUCUAUGACAACCAGAAUCACUGUGAAACCCUUCAGGGUCUUAGGCAGCCCUGAAAUAAAAUCCAUCGACACAUUCUCCCACUUCCACUCUGGCACACUUAAGGUUGUAAUAAACCUGCUGGUUUCUGUCUAGGUGCCUUAACUUGCUGACAUACUAGACACUUACUAACAAAUUCCGCCACUUCCCUUUUCAUAUUCCGCCACCAAUAAAAUCGUUUUAGAUCCUGAUACAUUUUCGUGCUACCAGGAUGCAUGGAAAAUGGGGAAUUAUGGGCUUCAUCUAGUAAGUCAAUCUUAACUGUACUGUUCGCUGGCACACAUAAACGUCUCUCAAACAUCAACCCACCAUCAGAGGAUAUGGAGAACUCAUCAGUCUGCCCUGUUUCAACAAGGCGACGUCUCUCCAUCAAAUAAGGAUCAUUACUCUGAGCAUCAACAAUCUUGUGCCUCAGAGUCGGUUGCACCGUUAAUUGAGCUAGCUGUGAGGUGACUCUCCCCACAGACACUGCAAUCUCAGCUCUCUCCAAGUCUCGAUGCAAUGGUACCUGUCUAGUAAUGAGUGCUGCCGAAUGUGAUACUUUUCUACUAAGAGCAUCAGCCACCACAUUCGCCUUACCAGGAUGGUAUAAUAUCUCACAGUCAUAAUCUUUUACCAACUCGAGCCACCUUCGCUGUCUCAUAUUCAACUCCUUCUGAGUGAAGAAGUACUUUAGGCUCUUAUGGUCAGUAAAGAUUUGUAUCUUUUCACCGUACAAGUAAUGUCUCCAUAUCUUCAAUGCAAAAACCACUGCUGCCAACUCCAAAUCAUGUGUGGGGUAGUUCUGCUCGUGACUCUUCAACUGACGAGAGGCAUAAGCAACCACCUUACCUUUCUGCAUCAAAACACAACCCAGUCCUUUCUUGGAAGCAUCACUGUAAAUCACAAAACUUCCAGAUCCAUCUGGUACAGUAAGGACCGGUGCAGUAACUAACCUUUGCUUUAAGUUCUGAAAACUAUCCUCACAAGCUGGACUCCAAACAAACGGAGUUCCCUUCCUUGUCAACUGAGUCAAAGGAGUAGCCAAACGUGAAAAAUCCUCCACAAACCUCCGGUAAUACCCUGCUAAACCCAGAAAACUACGAACCUCACUAACUGUGAGGGUCGAGACCAACUGGUAACCGCUUCUAUCUUUGCAGGGUCUACUGAAACUCCCUCACUGGAAACCACAUGACCAAGAAAAGCCACCUGCUUCAACCAAAAUUCGCACUUAGAACUUAGCAUACAGUUUAUUGACUCGAAGAGUCUCUAACACCUUAUGUAAGUGUUCCUCAUGUUCGGCUUCAGUCUUGGAAUAAACCAAAAUAUCAUCAAUGAAGACUAUCACAAAAGUGUCCAAGAAAUCCUUAAACACCCUGUUCAUCAAAUCCAUAAAUACAGCAGGUGCAUUAGUCAAACCAAAAGACAUUACUAUGAAUUCAUAAUGUCCAUACCUCGAACGAAAAGCAGUCUUAGGAAUAUCACGGUCUCUAAUCCUCAACUGGUGAUAACCUGACCGUAAGUCAAUCUUAGAGAACACCGUGGCUCCCUGUAACUGAUCGAACAAAUCAUCGAUUCUGGGUAAAGGAUACCUGUUCUUGACUGUUACUUUAUUCAACUCUCUAUAGUCAAUGCAAAGACGCAUCGACCCAUCCUUCUUCUUCACAAACAAUACUGGUGCACCCCAAGGUGACACACUAGGUCGAAUAAAGCCUUUGUCAAGCAAUUCCUGUAACUGUACCUUCAGUUCUUUCAACUCAGCAGGAGCCAUCCUAUAAGGGGCUCUAGAAAUAGGAGUAGUGUUUGGCUCCAACUCAAUGGCAAAAUCAAUCUCUAUGUGGCGCAGUCCUGGAAGAUCUUUUGGAAAUACAUCUGGGUAUUCUCUUACCACAGGUUCUGAAGUUAAAGAAGUCUCACCUUCCCUAGUAUCCACCACACUUGCCAAAAUACUCCAAGUACCCUGGCUGAGUAGUUUACUAGCUUUCAUAGCUGAGAUUACUUUAGGCAGUACUACUGUUCCUACUCCCUUGAAUUUAAAGCUAGAUGCAGUAGGGGGACUAAACACAACUUCCUUACGAGAACAAUCAAUACUAGCAUGAUUAGUAGCUAGCCAAUCCAUACCUAAAAUUACAUCAAAGUCACGCAUAUCUAAUACCAACAAGGUUACGUCCAGCACACGACCAGCUAUCUCAAUUUCACAUGCUUUAAUCUUUUCCUUAGACAACAUAAUUUCUCCAGACGGUGUAGACACUGACAAAACAUAGUCUAAGGGUUCCACCUCUAAGCAUGCAUGCGUCACAAAAAGCGAUGAAAUAAAUGAAUGAGAAGAUCCCGAGUCAAACAAGGUCAAGGCAAAAUGCCCUAAUACUGGUAAUGUACCUGUCACUACUGUGCCGGCCUUCUCUGCCUCUGAUCUAUUAGUGGCAAAGAUUGUACCCCGCUGUGGAGGUCUCUCUCCCUGACUGCUCGAUCCAGCCCCAGUAGAUCUCAAGGGACACCUAUCAGCCAUGUGUCCCUCUUGCUUGCACUUAUAACAGACUCUCGUUCCCAUCAAACAACGACCCAGGUGGCGUUUCCCACACGUAUUACAUACUGGCCUCUCUUGAGUAGUGUCUCCUGCACCGCCAGAACUCUGCUGGAAACUGCGAAAAGAAUCACCUGGUCUCAUGUUCCUCUGAGGAACUCCUACAGUUCUCUGCUCUACUUUUCUCUUUUGACCGACGACGAUCCCUUAUUAAAGCUCCUUGGCUGUCUUUCAUCCUUCCCAAUACUCAUAUCCACUGCCAGACGCAGUGCUUCAGCUUGGGUAGUGGGCUUUAGUGCUCGCACAAAACCCCUAAUUUCAUCUCUCAAUCCCUUGACGAACCUAUCAGCUCUAGCCUGCUCAUUACUAACAAGCUCAGGGGCAAAACGUGACAGCAUAUCAAACUCCUGGUCGUACUCCUCGACUGUCAUAUAUCCUUGCUUCAACUCCAAGAAUUCCUGGCUUUUGGCGUCUCUAAGGUUAGCCGAGAAAAACUUGGUAUAGAAGCAGUUCUUAAACUGAUCCCAGGUAAUUUGCCUCACAUCUCCACCUAGCAUGCGCAUUGUAGUCCUCCACCAGAUAAUGCCUCUGUCCCUCAGUAGAAAAGCAGCACACUGAACUCUGUGCUCCUCGGACAUCUCAUGUAAUUAAAUAUGGUUUCCACAGAGGACAACCACAUUUCAGCUUUAGUAGGAUCCUCCAGUGACCCAUCAAACGUCUGAGGGUCAUACUUCCGAAAGUCCCUCAAAUGUUUCGCCUCAGCAGAAAGUUGGUUAGGUAAUUCUUGUGCAGGAGGGGCUGCUGGUGCAGGGGAACUACAGGUGCAGGUGGAACCAGGUGCCUGCUGGUUUUGAGCUAUAGCUGUCAUAAGUUCUGUAAACCUCUGCUCCAUGUGAGCAGACAGUGCAUCAAACUCAACGUGAGUCACGGGUGCAGCAGGAAUUCGCUGUUCAGCUUGACCCUCAGUAGGCUGAUUACGACCUGCUCCUCUACCUCGGCCUCCUGCUCUCUACGACCUCCUCUACGUACUUCUUCCCUUGGCGGCAUAAUUCCUAUUACCACCAACAACACUCUUUAACAAAAUCUUAAUCAUAAACAUAAGCAAGUCUUUAUCGUCAUGCAAUCUAGUUUAAUUUAGGCAAGGUCAUGCAAAUAAACCAUACAUAUAAGCAUCAAGCAUACCUGACGAGAGACGAAGGGUCGCGUUAGCCAUAGGAACACAAAAACAUAGACUUACAUCGUAAGUCAGUCUACAGAACCUAAAACUUAGGCUCUGAUACCAACUGUAACGACCCAACUUUUCUAGGUAAGUCGAGGUCAUUAAUUUUUAAUAAAAGACUUUAUUGAUACAAAAUGAAACGUAAGUCAAUUUAAAACAAUCUAUGUCAGGCCUGAUUUUCAAAUAUUCAAGAAAACUUAAAAAUAACACUAUUUACAAAUAAAAGUUUGUAAACUAAGUUUUAGUACAUCUUAAACCUUAAAAGAAACCAUAAGCGGAAGCAAAAUGACACAGUUCCUAUGGAAUCACGCUUCCUUCCUCCCCCUCGCCGGUUUGCCACCUUUAUUUCCUUUGCCUGAAAAUUAAACAUAAGAAGGGUGAGUAUAACAAUACUCAGUAAGAGACCCUUACUGUCUCCGUCAGGGAAAAAUAAUUGUUAAAGUUCUAUUGGGACACCCUGUACAGUCGCAGUCUUGUGAUCGCGUAGGAUACACAUUUCAGUCUAACGCCCCGAAGGACGUACAUAUCAGUCUAACGCCCCGAGGGACGUACAUAUCAGUCUAACGCCCCGAGGACGUACAUAUCAGUCUAACGCCCGAGGGACGUUCAUAUCAGUCUAGUGUUCUGCAGAAACACAUAUCAGUCAAAUGCUCCCGAAGGUGCAAAAUAAAUUGGUGAUCCUGGGACACCUACAAGGUAAACAUCCCAAUACACAACCUAACAAUUUAUCCCUCAUUCCAUUCAACCCAUCUUUCAGUUACUUCAAAUCACAAAGUCCUUUCUUCAACAUCCUAACAGUCAACUUAUUUUACUACAAUCAUAUGUCUGUCAAUAAUAUGCUAAUACAUCAGUCAAUUCACUAUACAGUCAAGUCAAUACACCCCUCAGUUCACCAGCACAAACCACAGUUCAGUAUAAUCCACAUCCACACCGAACAAAUUCACUAGUUCACAUCCAAUCUUUAUACAGCACAAUCUAUUAAUAUCAUCAUGUACACUAAGCAUAAUUUCAGUCAUUCACAUGUAUACUUUCGCAAUCCACAUCAAUUCACACAUCAAUGUAUAUAUAUAUGUUUCCAGUCAAAUACAACAUACACUAAACAUUUAGUCUGCAAUCAAACAUGUACAUCUUAAUCAUCAUCCAUACAGUCCAACACAACUCAAAAACUUUAGGUGAGUCCAGUAGAAAAUCCCUUACCUCACUUUUAUGCAGUUCUUCAAUCUACUAAAUCCAAUGAAUCAAAUCCUAACAUAAUCAAUCAUAAAAUCAACAUCUUCUAAAUAGUUUCAACCAUUCAAAUUACCCCAUAUGUAAAUUCACAACUUACCCAAGAAGUGAGAGAAUCAAGUCCACUUCAACCUUUUGGAAAAUCAAGGAUUCGCUCACUGAAUCAAGAUGUACCUUCAAGAAUUAAGCAUUUCGCCAACAAUUAAAUCCAAUGGCAGCAUCCAACAAAAACCAAGAAACCAACAAAAACCAUAACUUGUUCUUACCCAAAUAUGAGCCCAAUGGUUCACGACGAGGCAGAUCUGGACGACGAUUUGCUUUCCGAGGAGGCACGACGGUUGUGAGCGAAGAGGCACGGCAGUUACAGGCAGAUGGCGCGCGACGGUUUAGAUCUGAAGAAGAAAGAGAGGGUGGCAGUUGGGUUCGGCGAGCGGCGGCGGUUUUGCUUCGCGAACGGAGAUGGAGACGGCAGUUCGGCGCGCGGGACGAUGCAACGCAAAUCUGGACUGGCAGCGGCACGGUCUUGCUUCGCGGCUGGGUAUGGUGAAAAAGAAAGAGAAACGGAAGAAGAGAAGUCUCGGUGCGGUUGCUGGGCUACGGGCGGUUGCUGGGCUGCGGCGGAAGGAGAAAAUGGAAGGAAGAGAUCGGCGGAAAGAAGGAGAAGAUGGAUGGAGUCAGAUCGCACGGGGAAGAAGAAGGGAGAAAGAAAAGAAAAAGAAAAAGAAGAAAAAAAAAUAAUAAAGAAAUUUUAAUACUAAAGUAAAAUAAAAAUAUAUAUAUAUAAUAUAUAAUAUAUAUAUAUAUAUUUACCUUUCUUUGGGCAUUACAUUUUUUUUUUAAUUUUAGCAAAUAACAUUUUUUGCACGUGCAUAAUAUUUAUAAAAUACCAAAAUAUCCACAUUCUCCAACUAAAAUUAUUUUGUUUCUAUGUUGUAAUUAAUUUAUAUUAUGCAUUUAUCAACUUUUAAUUAUUUUUUACCUGAAAAAAGAUACAUAAACUCAUAUAUAUACUUUUUUCUUAAUAUCUCGGGACUCAACUAAUGGAUUCAAGACUUUAACUUUAUUUAAUCUUACUAAUUUCAAAAUAACCUAAUUGAAUUUGAAUUUCAAAAUAACCAAAUUGAAUUUCAACAUAACAAAAUUAUUAUUUUUCAAAUUUGAUAAUCUCAGAAAUAGAUUUUGUAUCAAAAUAACUUUAAUUGAAUUUCAAAAUUAAAAAAUAUCAACUUAUUCACUCUUUAUCUCACAAUAAUAUUAAUGGCUUGAAUAUCAAGAUAAUUAAAUUAUUGUUUUUAAAAUUGGGAGAAACUCAACAUUAAAAAAUAUCAACUUAUUCACACACAAUCACACGCGCACACACAUACAUACACUUGCACGCACGUGCACCCAUACACGCACACACACACGCGUGCACACACACACACACACACAAACGCACACAUGCACACGCACACCAAACCGCACGCACACAAAUACACACACACACGCACACUAAUGGUUCAAUUUCAUCGAUUGUUCCUAUUUUUCUGACAGUUUAUUUUUGCCAUCGAUAGAGGAUCUUCCGACAGACCUGCGUGACGGUGUGUGUUGACAGCUUAAUUUCGUUGGCAAAAGAAAAGUCGAUUAGUUUUUGAAGAUUUACUGACGAUAUUUGUCAUCGACAAAGGGUAAAUUUCUUGUAGUGCAUGUACAUCAAACAUAUCAAAUUUGUUAAGUGUACCAAUGAAGUAUAAGAAGUUUAUUAGUGGUGUAUCAAGCGUAUCAAACUUAUAAGUGAAGUCUUUAAGUGUAUCAAACUAAUCAAGUGUAUCAAGGUCUCAGGGUAUCAAGUGUAUCAAGAAGAAUCAAGUGUAACGAGAAGUAUUAUGUGGAACGAGAAGUAUUAUGUGUAUGAAGAUGUUUCAGGUGUGUAUCAAAAAGUAUCGAGUGUAUCAAUGAGUACCGAGUGCAUGAAUUGUAUCUAUCAAAUGUAUCAAGUGUAUCAGUAAGAAAUAUCAAGUGUAUCAAGCGGUAUUAGGUGUAUCAGACGUGUAUAAGGUGUAUCAAAUGUACAUCAAUAACGAGGGCAUUUGUGACAUUUUACCUCUUGAUGUGUGAGUUGGUCUUUGUUUUUGUCAUUUUCUCAAAUAAUAAAGUAUGUGUUCUAUGAACUUAAUUAUUAUAACUUACACUACUACAAAAACAGGCUCUCUUGACGUUUGCAGUUUUCCUUUCUUGACGUUUUUUUCAAAAAACGUCAAGAAAGAUUUCAUUUUUAAUAAAAAACGUCAAGAAAUUUUUUGAAACAUCAUUCUUGACGUUUAUUAAAUGUCAAGUAAAAUAAAUUUUUCUUUGACGUUUUUAAAACAUCAAGAAAUAUCUAUUAAUUUUUUGACGUUUUAAAACGUCAAGAAGCGUAUGAAUUCGACAUGCUUGACGUUUCUUAAACGUCAAGAAUUUAAAAUUUUACUCGACGUUUUAAAAACGUCAAGAAAUUCAUAAAAUAUUCAAGAAUAUUUUUUAAAUUACACUGAGAAGGUAUCGAAUUUUAAUUUUCAGCUCUAACAUUUUUCCUAAUCUACUUUUUUCUUCUUCACGACUGAGUAUUCGAGGGAGUCAUUUUUUGAAUUUGUUGACAUUUUUUAAACGUUAAGUAAGAUCAUUUUUUUUUUUACAUUUUAAAAAUGUCAAGUGUUAUUAAAUAAAUAUAAAAAAUAUAUUGGGCUAAUUUUAUUUCUUUAAAAUCUCUUUAAAUAUAUAGAUACAAUAAUAAAAAUCUCUUUAAAUAUAUAGAUACAACAAUAAAAAUUUCUUUAAAUAUAUAUAGAAAAAAAAUAUUGUACUAAUAUUAUUCAGAAUCACUUUAAAUAUAUAUAGAAAAAAUUAUUGUGCAAAUAUUAUUUUUUAAAAAGCCCUAGCCCCUUUCUACUCAAAACACGCGUGUUCCCCUUUCCCUCUCCAGCCGAAAUCCUUCCCAUUCGAAAAAAGUGUGUUCAGCAGUCGUCGUUCGCUUUCAACGCCUAUCCGUUCGCCUUCAACGUCUGUCCGUUCGAUUUCACCGUCGAGUUCCACCUCUUCGAAUCCCUCACGUCCGUCGUUUCAAAGUCCUUCGUCCGCUGCAUUCCAUCUUUCCAAAAUCCCUCAGUGCCUCACGCUACUGCGUGCCCGUCAUUUCGACUUCACCAACGAGUGCCUCACGUUCGUUGCUUCAAAAUCCAUCAUCCACUAAGUUGAGGUUAGGCUUUUAUUUCCCUAAAACAUAUAACAAUUUCAUUAUUCUUCAUUAUAUAAACUCAGAUGGCAUGAUUGGCAAUAAUAGAUAGGAAGGAUGGAGGUGUAAACUUCGAAUUGAUUGAAAUUCGUAUACUUUUAUUCAAUCUUUAAAGUACUGUAGUUUUUCUUCACCAUCAAAUUUUAUUAGGAUUUAAAGAAAACAAAUGAAUGUAUGAACAAAUUUUUGGGAGUGCAUGUCAUAUAAUCAACUUCCCUCUUUCAGUAAUUUUGAAGAUCUCAUAUAACAAUACUACUAAUUGAGAGCUUUGGAGGAUGAGUCAAUUCUUCUCCCUUCGUGAAAAGAAAAAGAAAAAAAGAUCAUGUAUUCUCUUUGUUUGUUACCUUAUGUUGUCCAAGGUUUUGCCUUCUUCCUUAAUAAUUUGGAGGUGUUUUAACUAAUUUUUUCAUUCACCCUCUUUUUGCCAUAGUUGCUUUUGUGUGCAGCUUGAGAUUUUUAAUUCAAUUGUGUGUUUUUACUUUUUUCUAUUGGGUGAAUUCUGUUUUGACUUUUUUUAAGCUAAAUAUAAUUAAUUGUUUCCUAUGGAACCAUAACCUUGAUCUUGGUUAUAGAUUUCAUUUUAAGGUAAAAGUAAAACACUCUUAUUUGAAUGAUUAUGUUGUAUUAUCCAUUGAAAGACUUGGUGUUGUAAUUGCCUUGUCUUCCUCAGGUAUUCUGUUGUAUGGUUGAUUACGAUCUUCAUGAUUGGAAUCUUUGUUUAGUGAAGCUCAUUUUGUUUGAUUUACUCAGUCGUGCAAUUGCUUUCUUUUUUAUGAUCACUUUAAAAAAGAAAUGAGUUUAGUUAGUUCUUUUAAUUUUCUUAAGUUUCAUUUGUAAUGCAUGAAAAUCUCUUAGCAGUAGAAACUGAAGACCAUAAUUGUAGAAGAUUUGUAUAGAUUGGAUUCACAUUCUCAACAUUGGUUAUACAGGCAUUACUUAUCAUUGUCCUUCCACUUUAAUUAUCAAUAGUGACAAUAACUUUAUUUCUCAUUAGAUUUACAAUGAUGGAUAAAUCUUGGAUGCACAAGAGUAGAUUGUCUAAAGAUUAUGAGUUGGGUGUGGAAAACUUCAUCAAAUUUGGAUUUUCUAAUACAACUAGCUCCUAUAUUCGUUGUCCUUGUUUGAAAUGUGGGAAUUGUGAAAAACAUAGUAGAAAGGGUGUUAGAGAUCACUUGUAUGUUAAUGGUAUUGAUGAAAGUUAUAAAUUUUGGUUUUGGCAUGGGGAAGAACUUCCUAACUCAUCCUUCUAUGAUGAAUCUUCAAAGUUUGACACCCAUACAUGUGAAGAUCAGGAUGUUGGAAGUGUAAAAGAAAUGAUUGAAGUUGCUCAUGAGGAGUAUUCAAAAGACCCAACUGGAUUUGAGAAGUUGCUUAUUGAUGCUGAAAAACCAUUGUACGAAGGAUGCAAAAAGUACACAAAGUUGUCUACUCUAGUCAAAUUGUAUAAUUUAAAAGUUAGGUAUGGAUAGAGUGAUACUAGUUUUUCAGAAUUACUUGAAACUUUGAAGGAAAUUCUGCCUAAUACCAAUGAGCUCCCGAAUUCAUUGUAUGAAGCAAAGAAAACAUUAGGUGCAUUAGGAAUGGAAUAUGAAAAGAUUCAUGCAUGCCCGAAUAAUUUUGUCUCUAUAGAAAAGAAUUUGCUAAUGCAAUUGAAUGUCAUGAAUGUUGUCAAUCAAGGUGGAAAAACGUCAAGGAUACAAAUGAAAGGAGAAAGCAAAUUCCCUCUAAAGUGAUAUGGUACUUUCCAAUCAUUCCACGAUUUAAAAGGCUAUUCAGAAGCAUUGAAUGUGCUGAAAACUUGACUUGGCAUUCUACUGAAAGAAUUAAUGAUGGUAAGUUACGACAUCCAGCCAGACUCUCCAGCAUGGAAGUUAGUAGACAUGAAAUGGCAAGACUUUGGUUCUGAACCCAUAAAUCUUCGUUUAGCAUUGUCAGCCGAUGGAGUAAAUCCUCAUGGUGACAUGAGUUCUAAAUACAGUUGUUGGCCGGUAGUGAUGGUUAUUUACAAUCUUCCACCAUGGUUGUGUAUGAAAAGAAAGUACAUGAUGCUAUCAAUGCUAAUUUCAGGACCAAAACAACCAGGGGAUGACAUAGGCAUAUACUUAGCACCACUAAUUGAAGAUUUAAAACUUUUAUGGGAAAGUGGUGUUGAAUGUUAUGAUGCUUAUCGAGAAGAACCAUUCAACUUAAGGUCAGUUUUGUUGUGGACAAUCAAUGAUUUUCCUGCAUAUGGUAACCUUAGUGGAUGUUGUGUGAAAGGGUAUAAAGCAUGCCCAAUUUGUGGAGAUAAUACAAAUUCUAUAAGGUUAAAGUAUGGGAAGAAAAUGGCAUACCUUGGACAUCGUAGAUUUUUGGCACGAAAUCAUCUGUAUCGACGACAAAAGAAGUCAUUCAAUGGUAAAAAAGAACUUGAUACAAUUCCAGAGCCACUUUAUGGGGAGGAUGUGUAUUUAAAAUUGAAAGAUCUUGAAUUUUCUAGAGGGAAGAAGAACCAUAAGAAACGGUUGAUGAACAGAAGUGACAAAAUUUGUUGGAAUAGAUUAUCUUCUUUUUUUGAGUUGCCAUACUGGAAGGAUCUUCAUGUUAGACAUUGUUUAGAUGUGAUGCACAUUGAAAAAAAUGUUUGCAUGAAUAUCUUAGGUACAUUUCUUGAUAUUCCUGGAAAAAGUAAGGAUGGAUUGAAUGCUAGACGCGAUUUAGUUGAUCUAAAACUUCGACCAGAGCUUGCCCCUAUCAGAAUAUGUUACUCCUACUAAUUACUUUCAUUAUGUAAAAAAGACAUCUAAACGUGAGGAUGAGAUUAUACUUGAGAAUAAAGAACUUCGAAGGCGUGUAAGCGAAUUAGAAGCACAUAACCACUCAAACUUGUCUAGACCAUUAUCUGGACAUGGUAGCUGUUCGAAGCCAAAUAUCUUAGAAGAGAGUGACUCGAUGAAAAUAAUCAAAGGGAAGAGUAAGUUGAUGGAUAAAAUCGAAGGGAAAGAGGUGGAGGAGAUCAAUGUAAAUGACGACAAAGUAGAGUUGGACAUCUUUAAGGUAUGUGAUCGAUCCUCUAAUAAACUCAAAUUCUUAAUAUUCAUAUCAUAUUGAAAGUGAAUGUUUUUCUUGAAUUAGGAGAGAGCCUUAAUAAAAAUGACUAAGGAAAAAGAGGUUGUCUGUGAAUCGACGUCAGUUUUGCCAAUGGGAAUGAAGUUGAUUCUCAUAUACGUUGAGAAGAUAAUGGAGAAAGAUUCUAGUAUCACUAUUCCACUACUGUUGGCAUUUUUGGUAUUAGUCGAAAGACUUCUGUUCUCCGAGAGGACAUCAUUGAUCUUUGUAACAUGAAUGAGGUCAAAACAUUUACAUUGGUGGCCUAUAUGACGUAAGUAUCAAUUUCAUUUCUUUAGAUCUAAAUUUAUGUAUCUCGUUUACAAGUUUAUAAUAUUUUGUAGGUACUUGUAUUCAUCUGUUCUUGGUUCGAAGGAAACUAUACAGUAUGUCUUUGUAGAUCCAUCCCUCACCUCUGUCGGACACUCGCAAGAAUCUCGAGUUCGACACUUAUGCAGUAGAUUGAUGGUCUCAAAGAUUAACGAAAUAGUUCUUGCUCCUUUUAAUCCUGGGUAAGUCAAGUUAUUUUAUUACUUGCAUUGCAAAAAACUAGUACUAAUAUUUUGUAUAAUUAGGGGUCAUUGGGCACUGCUGGCCAUAAAUGCAUAUGAUGAUAUAGUAUUUUACCUCGACUCACUAAGGACAACAUCGAAGUCAACUAUAAGAUACGUCACCGACACGUAAGUUAAUCUAGUAUUUCAUUUAGUGUUGAUUCUUAUAUGCAUGUACACAAUAUUUAAACUAUUUGUUCAAUCUUAUCUUGUCAAAACAGAGCAAUAGCGAUGUUUCAGUCACAAAAGAACAUUAAAAAAAGUAGAAAACAAACUUUAUGGCUAACAGUAAAGGUAAGUAUCAACUUUUAAAGUCAUUAAAUUUUUGUAGACUACUAGCAAUUAGGAUUACUUUGUUAUUCAAAUUUGUUGCUUUUAUAUAGUGUCCACUGCAAGGAAGUAUUGAGUGUGGAUACUAUGUGAUGAGGUAUAUGAGAGAAAUUGUGACUAGGGGAAGCAUUGUCAUAUCCGAUGCGGUAUGUUAUAUAUCAAACUAUUGGUUUUGUGAGUUAAUUGGUUUAUUUGUAUAGUCAGUUAAUUCAUUUAAUUUAUUUUGUAUGUUUAUUGAUUGAUACACGAAGAUCAUACUCACAGGCAGAACUACACGAGGUGCGAGUUGAGUUAGCUGACUUUUUGGGUUCUUACAUAUGAUUAUGACCAAUAUUUUGUGAUUCUGAAGUAGGAAAUUUUUUGUUGUGUCGCUUCUUUAUGACCCUAAACUUUAUGUAUAGAAACUUUAGCCGAUAAUUCUUUUGAAUUGUUCAUAUGGAGGAAGGGGGGAGGGGGGUUCAUUCGUAUAUAUUUUUAUUAUUGUUAUAGCUAGCAUGUUUUGUGACUUUUUAAGUUGAUUUGGAUUCAUGGCAAUGUAAUGCCAUAUGAAAUCUAAUGUAAAGCCUAUUUCAUUAUGUAUAUGUAAAGUCUUGGAAUUGAAUAUAUAUGGUGAAUGGUUUUAUUUAUAUAUGUUUGAGAUUUGAAACUAUAUUUGAUGAAUAUCAAAUAUCUAUGAAACUGUUGUGGACAAUUACAGGAUAAUUACAGGACAAUCAGAAUAUAUUUCUUUCCAUUACAGCAUAAUUCAAUUACAAUUUCUUUUUUUAAAAAAAAUUAAAAAAUGCUUGACGGUUUUAAAAUGUCACGAACAAUUGCAAGCUUGACGGUUUUAAACUGUCAUGAACAAUUGCAUUUUUACGGUUGACAAAUGUCAAAACAAUUACAUUCUUGACAGUUUUAAAAUGUCAUGAAUAGUAAAAUUCUUGACGGGUUUAAAAUGUCAUAAACCAGUUCAUCCUUGACGGCUUUAAAAUGUCAUAAACAAUACCAGUCCUGACGGUUCUAAAACGUCAUGAACAUAAGUAUAUUUGACGUUUAUAAAACGUCAACGUUCACUAUUCUUGACGUUUAAUCAACCGUCAAGAACUUUGCCUUUCUUGACGCUGGCUUCAACGACGUUUUUAAAACCGUCAAGAGAGCCGUCUCUUGAAGUUUAAAAACGUCAAGAGAGCCUGUUUUUGUAGUAGUGUUAUUUUGCCAUUUUCGCAAGUGUCCCUUAAUUGUAAUACAUGUAUAUGUGACAUAAUCUAAUCAAACUAACCAUAAAUGGACUUAAUGUAUCAGGUAUUAGGUGUAUCAGACGUGUAUAAGGUGUAUCAAAUGUACAUCAAUAACGAGGGCAUUUGUGACAUUUUACCUCUUGAUGUGUGAGCUGGUCUUUGUUUUUGUCACUUUCUCAAAUAAUAAAGUAUGUGUUCUAUGGACUUAAUUAUUAUAACUUAUUUUGCCAUUUUCGCAAGUGUCCCUUAAUUGUAAUACAUGUAUAUGUGACAUAAUCUAAUCAAACUAACUCAUAAAUGGACUUAAUCGAUCUCAUGGACCACGAAUUCUUCAAUUACUUGCAAAUUUGGUGAGUUCCUUCAAACAGUGGGCGAAGAGCUUAAUUUUGAGAGAGAGGAAAAGUCGUGAAGAGUAUAUGCGAGAGAGGGGGAACGUGCCAGAGAGCAUUUGCGAGAGAGCUAAAGACAGCGACGAUGUGGGAUGAAGUAAGGUUUUUUUCGGUCGUUGUUCACAGUGGGAUGAAAGCUUCGAAUUAUUUGUUUUAAAUCAAAAGGCGUAAUGAUUGAAGGAAAACAUUUAUUUUUUAUUAGGGUAAUUUUUAAUGACACAUAAUUUAUGUCAUUAAUUAACAAUGCGAAAAUUUUGUCAAGAAAACUCAAUUUGUGUCACGAAAAAUUUUGUAUUUUUAUUUUUAACGACACAUUUUAUUCCCUCAUGUCCCUUUUUCUUGAUUUCAAGUGUCAUUAAAACUUAUUGUUGAAUAAGAAAUUUUGAGACCAAUCACAAGUUGCCACAUCAUUUAUUAAGUUAAUGAUGAAAAGUACAAAUAAUUAAAUUUGGGACUAAUUAAAAUUGACAUAUGCUCCAAAUUAAAGAGUUGAAAAUAAAUAAAAUGGUCAUUCUAAUAAUGCCACAUGUUUUCAUAUUAAUAGUUGGAUUAAGUUAAUCAUUUUAGUUCAAUUAAAUAUUAUUUACUUGGACUAAGUUCAAUUAAGCCCAAAAAAUAAGCUUAAUUGAGCCCAAAGACUAAAUAUAACCUAAGUCCAUAUGGUUGAGCCCAUGCGUCUGGUCCAUGGACCAACUAGGUUCAAACCCAUAAAGCCCACCAGUGAACUCUAUAAAUAGAGGAAUUCUCCUCAUUUGUAGGGGUUGGAAAAUAUUGACUCUAGAAGAUCCAGAGAGAAUUCUUCAAAGAGCUAGAAGACUCCCUAACUCCUGAAGUUGACCAUCCUCGAAGAUUGAAGCUUCUUUAAAGAUACAAGCUUUCUUCCAAGGCUUCAACUUCAAGAACAUCACGUGCUUCGCUUCCUCCAAAUCAAGCUGAAGCAUCCAGUUGAGAGAGAAUCAGAGGAUCAAAUUCUAGAGAUUGAACCGCAUCGCAUCAAAUCAACAAAAAUACAACAUCAACUCAAGUUCAAGUCCACGAAUUAAAUUUCUCCAGAAAUCUCGUGCGAACAAAUUGGCACGCCCAGUGGGACCAUCUCUACCUCUCAUCUCUCUCUCAUCAUCUAGAUCUACAAGCAAAUCAAUGGCAUCAAAGAAAGUUGCAUCCAAAUCUUCAGCUGCAAGCGACACCUACACGGGACCUAUCACCUGUAGUCGUUCCAAGGGGAUCAUCCAAGGGCAAGACCAAGGUUCCGCCAUCGCGCAGAGCAUCCUGAAGCAAUUAAUGGAAUCUCCUAAAGCUGGAAUUGUCAUCAAGGAAAAUCCUCUAUAUAAUGAUUAUGAUUCUGCCUCUAGCAGGUCACUGAAAGAAGCACACCCAGAUGUGAUGUCCGUCAUGAUGGCUGAUGUAGCAGUCGAGACUGCCAUGGCGGAGAUGGAGAGAAAAUUAAUCUCCUGAUGAAGGUUGUUGAUGAACGAGACCACGAAAUUACAGCUUUAAAGGAGCAGAUGCAGACUCGUGAAACUCUGAAUCGAGUCAAACUUGUCGUUAAAGUUGAUGACAAAGGGAAGAACGUGGUACAAGAAAAUCAGCCACAACAACAAUCAACUUCUGUGGCUUCUCUCUCGGUUCAACAAUACAAGAUAUGAUCACAAACUCCAUCAGAGCACAAUAUGGAGGCCCAUCUCAGACUUCUUUCAUGUACUCUAAACCAUACACCAAAAGAAUCGACAACUUGAGAAUGCCGCUUGGAUAUCAGCCUCCAAAAUUCCAGCAGUUUGACGGAAAGGCAAUCCAAAACAGCACGUUGCUCACUUCGUCGAAACAUGUGAGAAUGCAGGAUCAAGAGGAGAUCAACUAGUCAGACAAUUUGUUCGAAGCUUGAAAGGAAAUGCUUUUGAAUGGUAUACUGAUCUGGAGCCAGAAAGCAUUGAGAGUUGGGAACAACUAGAAAAGGAGUUUCUCAAUCGCUUCUACAGCACCAGGCGUACUGUAAGCAUGAUGGAGCUUACAAAUACGAAACAAAGAAAGGGAGAACCAGUCAUCGACUACAUCAAUAGAUGGAGAGCUCUAAGUCUUGACUGUAAAGAUCGGCUCACCGAACUGUCGGCUGUAGAAAUGUGCACCCAAGGCAUGCACUGGGGACUCCUCUACAUUUUGCAGGGAAUAAAGCCCCGCACAUUUGAAGAACUGGCAACUCGAGCUCAUGAUAUGGAGUUGAGCAUCGCCAGUAGAGGAACUAAAGAUUUUCUUGUUCCUGAAGUAAAGAAAGAUAAGAAAGAGAUGAAAGGUGCUGAAAAGAUAGUGAAAAGCACCGCGAAAGAAUCUAUGGUCGUAAACACAACCCCGCUGAAAUUCUCCAAAGGAAAGGAAGCGAGGGUUGAAAAGAAGGAUGAUGGAAGCGAAAGGCGACGUCUGACUUUAAAAGAAAGGCAGGAAAAAGUUUACCCAUUUCCUGAUUCAGAUAUCGCUGACAUGCUAGAGCAACUACUAGAGAAGCAGCUGAUCCAGCUGCCAGAAUGUAAACGACCUGAGCAAGCAGGAAAGGUAGAUGAUCCCAAUUACUGCAAGUAUCAUCGGGUCAUCAGUCAUCCAGUAGAGAAAUGCUUCGUGCUGAAGGAGCUAAUUCUAAGGUUGGCUCGUGAGAAAAGGAUUGAGCUAGAUUUGGAGGAAGUAGCUCAAACAAACCACGCUGAAGUGACGAUAAUGUCUGAGGCUUCUUCGUCGAGAUUGAUUUUUGAGCAAAGGAAAAGCUUGGUCCAGUUCGGGACCUUUGAGCCUAUAGUUGUCCAAUUCUUUCAGGAAAUCUCAUACGAGGAUCCUCAAGGAGAGAAAAGACCAAUCGAAGAAGACGAUGAAGGGUGGAUAGUGGUGACCCACCGAAAGAAAAGACAGUCGAUCCCGACCCAAAGAGAGUCUCGCUCUUACCAAAACUAUAGAAGAGGAAAUAAGACUCAAAAGAAUAAGAAAAAGAAGAAGACUCAUAAGCUUAAGCUCGUACAUAAUGAAGACAUGAAUUUCUCUCGACCUCAACGCUUAGUGACCUUGCAGACUUCCUUCCAAAAAGCUUCCUUUGUGAUCAUCAGGAUGAAGACCCAGAAGUCGUUGCGUGUCAUGCUAUCAACACAACGGAGGAAGAAAUAAUCCCUCCAAGAUCACUAGAAGGAGAGGGAGUAUCAAAAGACCUUUCAAGGUUUAAUGUAGAGGAUCUAUUAUCACUUCCUCAAGAGACCAAAACCAUCCUUAUUGAUGCAUUGCUAAAUUCAAGAGCAUCAAGUUCGAGUACUCCGACUAUGACAUAUGAGAGUGGUUCUUAUUGUAUGUCUAUAGACUUCUCAGAUGAGGAUUUGUUGUUGGGAUCUAAACUUCAUAAUAGACCUUUGUAUGUUUCUGGAUACGUUCGAGAACAGAGAGUCGAUCGAAUCCUCAUUGAUAAUGGCUCAGCUGUCAACAUAAUGCCAAAGUCGACUAUGUGGCAAUUAGGCAUCUUGAUGGACGAGCUCUCAAAUAGCAAGCUAGUAAUUCAAGGUUUUAACCAAGGUAGCCAAAGAGCAAUAGGCAUGAUACGGUUAGAACUCAUAAUUGGCGACCUAAAGGCCAGUGCAUUGUUUCAUGUCAUAGACUCAAGGACUACUUACAAGUUGUUACUAGGGCGUCCUUGGAUUCAUGGAAACGGAGUAGUAACUUCAACACUGCAUCAGUGCUUCAAAUUUUAUCAGGACGGUGUAAAGAAGGUUGAAGCCGACUCUAAUCCAUUCUCAGAAGCUGAGUCUCACUUCGCAGAUGCAAAGUUUUAUUCAAAGAAUAAUAAUAUUUUAGAAGUUUUGCCUGCAGAAACCCCUCUUACAAAAGGAGAAGAUAAUUCACAACUGAAAUCACUCGCAACCACAGAACCACAUGAAAGUGCGAGAACCUUUAACUCUGGAAAGGGUGAAGCAUACACUAGCAGCACAAAGGGUAUGAUCUUGAAGGAUGAAAAUGCUGCAAACACACCAGUUUUGCGUUAUGUCCCUCUGUCAAGGCGCAAGAAAGGCGAAUCACCAUUCAUGGAGUCUCCAAAAGGUUUGAAAGUUGGUGACAUCGAAAUCAUAAAAGAAAGCUUCACUACACCACUAACUAAGAUAGCGAAGCAGGAGGUAAAGGUAGAUCUGGUGGAAGCAAACUUGCCCCAAAGGCGAACGAAAGACGGAUUCGACCCCAAGGCUUACAAAUUGAUGGCGAAAGCAGGUUAUGACUUCACAGCUCACACCGAGUUUAAAAGCUUGGAAAUUCAUGACCGACCUGAGCUCUCCUCAACUCAAAAGAAGCUUCUACGGAAGGACAUUCUAUACCCGUGUCGAGAAAAGGACUCGGAUACAAGUCGCCAGAACCGAUCCGUAUAACUAAAAAGGGAAGGAAAAAGUGGUUGACAUCAAUCAUAUAACUAUAGAGGAUGACAAUACUGACGUAAAAGAAGGUGAUAAUCAGAGAAUCUCAGUAUUUGAUCGAAUUAGACCAUCUGUUGCACGUCCCGUAGUAUUUGAAAGGCUAAGCAUGACAGAGGCAGAAAGAGAAAGGCUCCAGUCAGUACCAAACCUUGAGAGACAUUCGGUCUUUCGAAGGCUAACUACGACUCCCAUAAAGGAAGAAAGCACAUGCCAUGCCUUGACAACUACAAGACCAUCAGCCUUUGAAAGGCUAGGUGUGUCUAAAAAAAAAAUGUACAAGCACCCCGUGCUCCGAUUUUUAAUCAUCUCGGGGAUAAAGGAUCACACGACAACAUUGAUUCCAACAUAGCAAAGAAGAAGGAACCAAUGUCUCGUGUGAAAGUUUGGCGUCGAAUUAAGCAUACAGAUGUCGAUAAUUAUCGUAGUAAGAAGUUUCCUUGCGAGACAAAGGAAAAUGGAGAAAUUCAUAGCAACGUUCCUUCUCGCAUGAAAAGAAAAACUUUUGUUACUCUCAAUACAAGUCAAGGUUCGUUAAAGGUAAAAAGACAUGAUGUUAUACUAACGAAUCCUGAAAAAGAAGGGUCGGAACAAGGGGAAGGUGAAACUUCAUGUCAUCACAUCACCAUUAUUGAGGAAUCAGAGACUGGAACUCAUGAAGAAGACGCAGAAAAUGCCCCACAAAGUUUAGAGGAUGGUGGUCAAUCUACUGUAGACGAGCUAAAAGAGGUGAACCUUGGUACAAUAGAGGAACCACGUCCGACUUUCAUUAGUGCGUCCCUCUCUAACGAAGAGGUGGAUAAAUAUAUGAGUUUGCUCACCGAAUACAGGGACAUCUUUGCGUGGUCGUACAAGGAGAUGCCAGGACUUGACCCAAAAGUAGCAGUCCAUCAUCUUGCAAUUAAACCGGAUAUCGACCGAUUAAACAAGCACAACGACGUUUUCGACCGGAGCUUAUCCCUCAAAUCGAGGUGGAAGUCAACAAGUUGAUCGAAGCAGGAUUCAUUCGCGAGGUCAAAUAUCCAACGUGGAUAGCAAACAUUGUCCCUGUUAGAAAAAAAAAUGGACAACUUCGCGUUUGUGUAGACUUUCGCGAUCUGAAUAAUGCAUGCCCUAAAGAUGAUUUUCCCUUGCCCAUCACCGAAAUCAUGGUUGAUGCAACUACUGGACACGAGGCGUUGUCGUUUAUGGAUGGGUCGUCUGGAUAUAAUCAAAUACGGAUGGCCCUCUCAGAUGAAGAAAUGACAGCUUUCAGAACUCCAAAGGGAAUAUACUGUUACAAGGUGAUGCCCUUUGGAUUGAAAAAUGCCGCGCUACUUAUCAACGUGCCAUGCAGAAAGUGUUUGAUGAUAUGUUGCACAGGUAUGUUGAAUGUUAUGUUGAUGAUCUUGUAGUCAAAACAAAGAGACGACAAGACCAUUUGAAGGAUCUAAAAGUCGUGUUUGAUCGCUUGCGAAAAUAUCAGCUAAGGAUGAACCCUCUCAAGUGUGCGUUUGGUGUAACUUCAGGAAAAUUUCUUGGCUUCAUUGUAAGGCAUCGAGGGAUCGAAAAUAGACCAGUCCAAGAUUGAUGCCAUUCAGAAGAUGUCAAGACCUAAAAGUUUGCAUGACCUAAGAAGUCUCCAAGGACGACUGGCUUACAUCCGAAGGUUCAUCUCUAACUUGGCCGGUCGGUGUCAACCUUUUCAAAAGUUGAUGAGAAAAGGAGAAAAUUUUGUGUGGGAUGAAGCUUGUCAGAACGCUUUUGAUAGCAUAAAGAAAUACUUGCUUACUCCCCCAGUGCUGGGAGCUCCAGUACCUGACAAACCACUAAUAUUGUACAUUGCUGCACAAGAAAGGUCCUUAGGAGCAUUACUGGCACAAGAAGAGGUAAAGGGAAAGGAGCGUUCUCUCUACUAUCUAAGCAGAACAUUAAUUGGGGCUGAAGUUAACUAUUCUCCUAUCGAAAAGAUGUGUCUUGCACUUUUCUUUGCCAUUGAUAAGUUGAGGCAUUAUAUGCAGGCCUUCACGGUUCAUCUAGUGGCAAAAGCAGACCCUAUAAAGUAUGUUCUAUCCAGGCCAAUCAUCGCUGGACGCUUAGCCAAAUGGGCGGUUCUACUCCAACAAUAUGACAUUGUCUAUAUUCCCCAAAAGGCGAUAAAAGGACAAGCGCUAGCAGACUUUUUAGCAGACCACCCAAUUCCUUCGGAUUGGAAGUUAUGUGAUGACCUACCAGACGAUGAGGUUUUCUUCACAGAAGUUAUGGAACCUUGGACUAUGUACUUCGAUGGUGCAGCUCGAAGAAGUGGUGCGGGGGCAGGCAUUGUCCUCAUUUCUCCUGAGAAGCAUAUGUUGCCUUAUAGCUUUGCACUUUCCGAAUUGUGUUCAAACAAUGUGGCUGAAUAUCAGGCUUUGAUAAUUGGCCUUCAAAUAGCAUUAGAAAUCGGAGUGUCAUUCAUAGAGGUCUAUGGUGAUUCAAAAUUGAUAAUCAAUCAACUCUCGCUUCAAUAUGACGUGAAACAUGAAGACUUGAAGCCAUAUUUUGCUUAUGCUCGACAAUUGAUGGAAAAGUUUGAUAAUGUGAUGUUAGAACAUGUCCCUAGAGUAGAAAAUAAGAGAGCGGAUGCAUUGGCAAAUUUAGCCACGGCCUUGACCAUGCCAGAUGAUGUAACUCUGAACAUACCACUUUGUCAACGAUGGAUUAUACCCCCAGUUAGGCCUGAAUGUCAGGAAGUGAACAUGGCAACAUCCUAUUUGAUUGAUGAAGAAGAUUGGCGUCAACCCAUCAUAGAGUAUCUUGAACAUGGAAAGCUUCCAAAGGAUUCUCGUCAUAAAAUUGAGAUACGAAGAAGGGCAGCACACUUCAUUUAUUACAAGGGAACUUUAUAUCGCCGUUUUCUUGAAGGGCUCUUCCUUCGAUGUCUCGGAAAGGAAGAUUCGGUAAAAGCUCUAAAGGAAGUACAUGCAGGUGUUUGUGGAGCACAUCAAUCGGGACCAAAGCUUCAAUUCCAGCUAAGAAGAAUGGGCUACUACUGGCCUAAGAUGAUCCAAGAUUCAAUAGACUAUGUGAAGAAGUGUGAGCCUUGUCAAUACCAUGCAAACUUCAUACACCAACCUCCAGAACCUCUUCAUCCAACUGUGGCUUCUUGGCCUUUUGAGGCUUGGGGACUCGAUCUGGUUGGCCCCAUUACACCAAAAUCAUCAGCAGGACAUUCUUAUAUCCUAGCAGCAACAGACUAUUUUUCAAGGUGGGCUGAGGCCAUUUCAUUGAGAGAAGCCAAGAAGGAGAACGUGGCAGACUUUAUUCGAACACACAUCAUCUAUCGAUACGGUAUUCCACAUCGAAUCGUGACGGAUAAUGGAAAGCAAUUCUCCAAUAGUAUGAUGGACAAGUUAUGUGAAAAAUUCAAAUUCAAGCAAUAUAAGUCAUCCAUGUACAACGCAGCUGCGAAUGGACUAGCAGAAGCAUUCAACAAAACAUUGUGUAAUCUUUUAAAGAAAAUUGUCUCCAAGUCAAAGAGGGAUUGGCAAGAAAAGAUCGGCGAGGCAUUAUGGGCUUAUCGGACGACUCAUCGCACCCCUACAGGGGUUACACCAUAUUCGCUUAUUUACGGUGUGGAGGCUGUCCUUCCUCUCGAAAGGGAAAUUCCGUCACUAAGAAUGGCAGUACAAGAGGGAUUGACUACCGAAGAUAAUGUGAAGUUACGUCUUCAAGAAUUAGAAGCACUUGACGAAAAGCGAUUAGAGGCUCAGCAAGCAUUGGAAUGUUAUCAAGCGAGAAUGUCCAAAGCUUUUGAUAAACACGUUAAACCUCGCUCCUUUCAAGUCGGUGAUCUAGUACUUGCCGUAAGGAGACCGAUCAUCACAACAAGGCAUACAGGAAAUAAGUUCACACCUAAAUGGGAUGGACCUUACAUUGUUAAAGAAGUUUAUACAAAUGGCGCAUACAAGAUCGUUGAUCAAGACGGACUACGAAUUGGCCCAAUCAAUGGUAAAUUUCUUAAAAAAUUUAUGCUUAAUUUUGUUAGGUAAAAAAAAAAAAAAAAAAGUUGAACUACGUUAUGACUUGAUCCCUAUAUUAUAAAGGGUACGUAGGCAGCUUAAGGAAAACCUUAAGCCCAGUCCAGCAAAAAAAAAGUUGAACUACGUUAUGACUUGAUCCCUAUAUUAUAAAGGGUACGUAGGCAGCUUAAAGAAAACCUUAAGCCCAGUCCAGCAAAAAAAAAAAGUUGAACUAUGUUAUGACUUGAUCCCUAUAUUAUAAAAGGCAGCUUAAAGGAAACUUUAAGUUCAGUCCAAUAAAAAAAAAAGGAAGAAAGACAAAUUACAUUUAAUAGAAAAUAUGAUGAGGAGUGGAACAAUGAAAGAAUAAUUUUUUUUUUAUUAUUAUUAUAAACUUCUAGCAAAAAAAAAUUAAAAAGGCAUAAGUAGAUAAAUAAGAGAAAGCAGAGAAUCAUGGAGUCCAUUUAAAGUUCUUCAGCUCCUCUAGUGUGCUUUCUAAAGAUUCACGAAGUGUUGAUAGCAUUUUAGCAUCAAUAUCUCCAACGAUCGGGGCACAUUCGAGUUUGUCAAUUUCCUCACAAGUCUUCGAAAUCUCAUGUUGCUUCUGCUUCAGCUCCAGGUCGUUCUUAAAAAUUAUUCCAGAAAGUUUAGCAGACUCAACCCGCACCAUCUUUAGUUUUGCCUCUAGUUUAGCCUCCUUAGCGGACAGUCGUGUAAGACGACGUUUAGCAGUGUUGGUCUCUGCUAAUAUACGAUUCUCAUCAACUCGCAGAGUCUUCACAAAACCUUUUGCCUCCGUUAGCUGAACAUCCUUAGUUGAUUGGAGUGGAAAUGAGGAAUGUAUUUGAUUAUGGUUCUCGACACCUUGGAAGUAACCAUUCACAAGCUCCCUCAAAACAAUAAGGUUGUCGCUGCCGUUAGUCGCAAUCGCAUCAAAGAUCUUAUGCAUUUCUGGUUCAAGACUACUCAGUCGUUCAAAAGGGGUACGAAUGAUCUUCUGUCGUAGGUUUUCCCAUAAGGUUAUGGCAGCCUGUCGUCGGAGGUCAGAAAUUAAGCUGUCAGCACAAAAAUGAGAAAUCUCAGAAACUGUAAUAGGCUCUGUGCCUUCCACUUUUUGAGGAGGUCCCUUGAUCACAGGAGGACAAGCAGACACAAUAUUUGCGCCUAUAGGUUCCUUAGAGUUCCCAUUAUAAGAAAGUACAACGUUACAGUCUUCUAGAUUCAGCAUCAACUCUAGGGUAUCUUCGAUGUGUAGGUCAUGAUCACCUAAAGAAUACUACAAAAUAAUAUUAACAACAAGAAAUAAGGGGAGUAAAGGAGAGAAAAUACAAUCAAUAAAUAAAUAAAAUUGGGAGACGAAAAGAAACCAUGGGGGAAGGGACAUCGAAAAAUUGUGCAGCAUCAGGGACCCGAAUAGGAGACUCUUCAUCAUCGAUCGACUGUUUGUUAGGCUUCUUGGGUCUCUUCCAAUGGCGAUCAUCAUUGCUGCUUUGACUGUCCUCAAUACGUUUAGAAGGAUGCUUGGUAGCUAUCGAUAAGCGGUUGUCCUUACCCAUAUUGUCAAUACCACCUUUAAUAAGAUGUUUAAAUCGUGUAGAAAGAGACAAAUUAUCCACCAAGCGUUUUGUCCCUCCCUCAAUUUUCUCCACAAGUCGUUCAUCAGUUUCAUCGGAGCAUAUCUUCUGAUUUCCACUACCAAAAUUAUGUUCAAUCUUUUUUGUGGUUUUGGAUUUGAUGUGAGGGGGAGUAGGACGAUCUAUCAAAUGUUGUACUCCUUCUUGGAGGUAAUCACCGUGUUUUGCAAGCCACCAGACCUUAUAAUGAGAGGUAACAUGUGUGUCUGGAUUAGGGGCAGACACAGGAAGAUAUACUUGGGAAAGUGUAUUCUCGCGAAUACAAAUCAUCCAACAAUAUCGUACGUUAAAAAAAUUGGCUUCGGGAAUUUCUUCACCUAAGUCAUAUGGCACGUCUUGAUAAAAUCCAAAUGGUCGGCUAAAGCGACAAGGACUAUAAGGCUCAAUAACUGUGGAGGAUCCACAUUGCGAGGAUAGAAAACAAGAGCAAAUGCUUAUGAAAAAUGAAGCAUUCUAACUAAUUAACUCUCCAUCAUCCGUUAAGAGUUCGUCCUUAUUCUUUGUUGGAAGACACGCAUGCCAUGACACAUACUUUCCCUUGUGGAUAUGUGUUCGAGCCUCAAGAUUAGUAUAAUAUUUGGCCCCACCUUCACCAGAAAAUUCAACCAUGCGAGGACCCCUAAGACUCCUAGGGGCUUUAUAAUGAGUGUUGAAGUAAAGAGCAAGCCACCCAUGGACAUAGUGAAGAGGAAAACAGGCAUUUGAAUAACCAAGUGAUGAAGUAGAAUCAUGAACUUGGCGUAGGCCACUAUAAAUAUUAGCUAAAACAGGGACGGCAAGGCUAAAUGUGUAGCCUUCCGCCAUGAGGCUAGCAACCUUAAAAACCUCCGGACGAAGGGAAAGUUGCUUAUCAGGGAACACAAACACACAUAGCCAACAAGAGAGAAAUGCCGCUAGAUAGGUUUUGUCCCUAUGAUCAUCAGUGACGCUUAAGUCAAGGAACACUUUGAGUUCAGCUUUAGACCAGUCAGGACGUCUGAUGGGAAUUCCAUCUGGAUUAUGAGUUGAGCGAGGGCGAGAAGUCUUUUUAGGCUUUCGAGGAGGCGGUUUCGAAUACUUUACCUCAGAUCGUGUAACCCAAAAAGAGAUCCAUUCACUUACAGUGAUUUGAGAGUGAUCCAUGCGUUGAGAAACAAUGCGGUAAUAGGCUGCAAAUAAAUGCUCACAACUUCUUGGACAUACAUCAGGUGAUCCUAUUAAGUCUUGGUGGCAAGGAAUGCUUUCUUCAUAAAAUCUACCUUUAAUCGGGAGUCCUCCUAGUAUCCAUAAGUCCCAUAAGGAGAUGGACAUCUCACCAGCUGAGGUGUGAAGAGUGUUUGUUGAAGGACACCAUGCCUCGCAGAAAGCCCGAUCAAUGUCACUGUUGCGAUCAUAUGUAUAUAGGGAAGCCAUCACAGCAUUAAAUAGGGAGGCUCGCUUGAGUACUGCCGUAUUUCUAGCAACAACGAGCUCUAACCACUCCCAAUAAUGAGGAAGAUAGUAAAAUUCUCCAUGUACCUUGAGCACAUUUCCCCAACGAAUUUUUGGGUCGUUUAUAAUUCGACGACCCAACGUUGAUUCUGGAUCCUCAUUUGGAGGCUUGUUGUGAAUCGAAGACUCCAGAAACCAAGAUUUUAAAGAUGAAUUUGGAUUUACAAACCGUUCCUUGGACCAUUUAGGCAAAAAGAUAAAAUUGUCCUCGGGUAUUUGAGAGUCCAUAAUAUUCUCAUAUGUCCCCUCUCUCACAGGAAGAAUGAUCCCUUCCUCUAAAGAUUGAUCUACGUCCUUCAGGAUAAUUAAACACCUUUUGGUCGAGUCAGAAUACUCAGUGAAGUGCACCAUGAUGAAAAGAAGAGUUCCUGCAAAAUAAUAAUAAUAAUAAGAAGAAGAAGAAAUAGAAAAAAAAAAAAAAACCAAAACAAAAAAAAAAAAAAAAAAAAAAAAAAAAAAAAAAAAAAAAAAAAAAAAGAAAGAAGAAAAAAAAAAGAAAGAAAGAAGAAAAAAGGGGGGGGAAGAAAAAGCAAAUGGAGAUUGAAGCCCGACGAUGACAGAGUCGAUCUCUCCUACUAGGGCGAUAGAUCUGACGGCAAAAGCCCGAUCGUCCCUAGAAGAAGCUCAACAAAGUCAUUUCUGCAAACGAAGAUCGAAGCCCGACGAUGACAGAGUCGAUCUCUCCUACUAGGGCGAUAGAUCUGACGGCAAAAGCCCGAUCGUCCCUAGAAGAAGCUCAACAAAGUCAUUUCUGCAAACGAAGAUUGAAGCCCGACGAUGACAGAGUCGAUCUCUCCUACUAGGGCGAUAGAUCUGACGGCAAAAGCCCGAUCGUCCCUAGAAGAAGCUCAACAAAGUCAUUUCUGCAAACGAAGAUUGAAGCCCGACGAUGACAGAGUCGAUCUCUCUAACUAGGGCGAUAGAUCUGACGGCAAAAGCCCGAUCGUCCCUAGAAGAAGCUCAACAAAGUCAUUUCUGCAAACGAAGAUCGAAGCCCGACGAUGACAGAGUCGAUCUCUCCUACUAGGGCGAUAGAUCUGACGGCAAAAGCCCGAUCGUCCCUAGAAGAAGCUCAACAAAGUCAUUUCUGCAAACG